rnacentral:lncRNA from 1 species
GGCCAAAUCAUCUUGGCCUCACAACCUAAGAGCCUUAAAUUCCAACUUAUGAUCUUAGAAAGAUCGGGUUUGGGAGAGGAAACAUGUUUACCACAUCCAUUACAUUAUCUACCAUCGAAACCUAAUAUGAUGGAUGCUAGAGAUGAGACCGAGUUGGUCAUCUUCUCAGCCAUGGACUCUUUGUUUCAGCAAACUGGGAUUGAUCCUAAAGACAUCGAUAUUUUGAUUGUAAACUGCAGCCUCUUUGCACCCACUCCUUCGAUUUCAGCCAUGGUGGUUAACAAGUAUAAGAUGAGAAGUAACAUCAAGAGUUAUAACUUAUCAGGAAUGGGGUGUAGCGCAGGGUUGAUAUCGAUAGAUUUUGCGAAAAACCUACUCCAAGUCCACCCUGAAUCAUAUGCGGUUGUGAUUAGUACUGAGAUUCUUUCCCCGAAUUCGUACAUGGGUGUAGAGAGAUCCAUGCUCCUUCCGAACUGUCUCUUCAGAAUGGGAGGAGCAGCCAUUCUGUUGACCAACAAAAGGUCACACCGGAGAGAUGCAAAGUACGUACUCUUGCAUGUGGUUAGGACCCACAAAGGGUCUGACGAUAAAUCAUAUCGUUGUGUCUCACAAGAAGAAGAUAAAGAGGGUCAUGUCGGUAUAGCGCUAAACCUAGAUCUCAUGGUGAUCGCUGGCAAUUCUUUGAAGUCGAACAUAAGCACCAUGGGGCCAUUGGUUCUUCCAGCAUCGGAGCAACUCUUGUUUCUUUUCAAUUUCUUGGGGAGAAAGUUCCUUAAGCUUAAUCUUAAACCCUACAUUCCCGACUUCAAAAAGGCAUUCGAUCAUUUCUGCAUUCACGCAGGUGGUCGUGCGGUUAUUGAUGAGCUUCAGAAGAGCCUUAGGCUGACGUCAGAGCAUGUUGAAGCCUCAAGGAUGACGUUGCACCGUUUCGGAAACACAUCGUCUUCGUCAUUGUGGUACGAGAUAGGUUAUAUGGAAGCAAAAGGGAAAAUGAAGAAAGGAGAUAGAGUCUGGCAAAUAGGGUUUGGGAGUGGGUUUAAAUGCAACAGUGCAGUUUGGAAAUGUAACAGAGAAAUCGAAGCUACAAAAUAUAGUGCAUGGGCUGACUGCAUCCAUAGGUAUCCAGUAAACGAGCCAGAAGGUGGGAAGCUCUAAGCGAGGGUCAAGUAUGUCCUUUCAAUUUUAAUGUGUGAUAUGUAUGCUAUUUCUUACCUUAAAUAAAAAAGUUUCACGUGCUUCAUAUGUAAUCCAAGAGACCACGUAAAAAUCAACAAUUUUUUUUUAAAUAUUAUUGGCAUAUAAUUAAGGAUGCCCUUUUAACCCAUUAAACACUUAAUCACUACUUUAUUGAAUGAUUAUUCAACAAUCAUUCAGCUUUACUCUAUAUCAUCACUCAUACUCCAUUCAACUCUUAUACUAUUUGUAUUAUGGAAGCUCUAAGAAUUAUUCUCUGAUAUCAUUGCAAGUGGAAGUGUUAUUCGCUAAUAUCAUUACAAAUGGAAGUGUAUUUUUGUAUAGUAAUUUUUUGUCUUCAUAUUUUAACAAAACAACCACAACCACCACGAAUAAAAGCCUGGAAACUUGCCGGAACGACUUUUGUGACAUGUAGCAUCACCAAUAAAUAUUUAGGAAUACUUUAUUACUCGAGAGAAUAAUUUAAGAUGAUUUAAUUGUCUCAACCAAAUAAAAAUCAUGUGCACCUAUUUAUUGGUAAGGGUGUUGAAUAUGGGCAACACCCAUAGGGCGUUCUUAGGCGUUAUAAUGCACAAACACCGGCCCCCUUCACGGUUUUUGGGCGUUAUACGACUGUCGUUACUUCCCGUUGCCACCACCAUCUUCGUUUAACGACGUUUCUUUCUUUUUAUCUAAAAACGCCUGUGUUGGCGUUACCCACACCUACCACCCUAACCCUAAGUAGUAAUUAUUAGCAUGUUCCAGAUGUUUCGUUUAACAAUGUAGAUAUAAUUGUUCAUCUCUUAAGAGUCGAGAUGUCAUCUACUUCCAUCUAUUUAAAUACUUGGAGAUUAUAUGUUUAAGUUUUUAUAUUAUUAUUACAAUUAGACGAAUAUUCGCACGUUAUGUAGAAUAAAAUUAUAUAAUUAACAUUUGAUAAGUACAUAUUGAAAAUAAUUAUGUAUUGAGGUUAAACUAUGAAAUAAAAGUUUCUUAUACUAAUUGUUGUAUAAAAUUGUAAUAAUUUUGAACCAUAUUAUAACAUAUAUUAAAAUCAUUUUAAUUUGCUGCAGCUACUUGCCGCCGACGCGUAAAUAAAAUUAAAUACAAUUCUUUAUUUAAUAUUACUUUUAAAGUUAUGAUUAAUUAAUUUAGAAAUUAUUUGUAAUUUAAAAGGUAAUGUUAUAUUAAUUAUUAUUAUUUUUAAUUAAUUAAAAAUUAUAUUGUAACACUCCGAGUUCAGAGGUGCAAGUUCAAGGUUCUUAGUGUAAAGAAGGAAGGUCGACUCGGUGAGUCGAUGGAUAGACUCGGCGAGUCGAGUCGCGGUCCUGGUCACGUGUUAAAUGACCAACUCGGCGAGUCGGCGGCUGGACUCGGCAAGUUGGUGCUGAAAAGAGAAAACCCUAAUCACGUAAAGUUUGCAACCUUAUGUGAGGGUUAGGCUGUAGAGGAAUGGAUCUAUGGAUUGGAGUCCCUGCAUGGCUUGAAAAGCCUCUGUUUGGAAUGAGAACUAAAGAGACUCGACGAGUCACAUGGGUGCACUCGACGAGUUGUAUGAAUAUGUGCAUGGACUCGGUAAGUUGGAAGAACAACUCGACGAGUCUGUUGAAGAUUUCCUGGGACUCGGCGAGUCUGGUCGUGGAAACCUAGCCUUUUCUGGUUGAGCCGAGAAUCGGUGAGUCGAGGGACGACUCGGUGAGUUGAGCAGGAUGGGACUCUAUGAUCGUUGGACUCGACGAGUCUUUGGGUGACUCGGCGAGUUGAGUCGUGUUCUAAGAGUUUUCAGAGCAUAGGGACCCGACGAGUCAGUAGGUUGACUCGACGAGUAAAGUCAGUCAGGAAAUUUGACUUUNGGGGUGACUCGCGAGUUGAGUCGUGUUCUAAGAGUUUUCAGAGCAUAGGGACCCGACGAGUCAGUAGGUUGACUCGACGAGUAAAGUCAGUCAGGAAAUUUGACUUUGACUUUGACCAAGAGUUGACCAGUUGACUUCUAGGGGUAUUUUGGUAAUUAUUGGUAUUUAUUGGAUUUGGUUAUUUGGUAAUGUUCGGUGGUGGAGUUCGUGUCGGUGGUCGGAGCACAGUGAUCUUAUUCUUCAGCCGGCAGUUGCAGGUGAGUUAUUCUCACUAUAUCAACAGGGUCUAAGGCACCAAGGCCGGCCCUUUAUCGGAUGGAAAUCCAGGUAGUUGUUUGUUAUGUUAUUGCUUUGUUAUGUUUGCAUCCUGGUAGUUAGGAUGGUGUAUGUUAGAGACCUGGUUAGGGUCGGUAUCCUGGUUUAUAGGAUGAUGCUAUGGUAGUGAGCGGUUAGGUCAAAAUCCUGAUAAGGAUGUGCUAUGUAUGUGAUCUGCUAAGAGCGGUUUGAUUAGUUGUGAAUUGAUAUAUGAGUAUAUGUUUAUGUGCACAUGGUUGUUGGACUGGGGUUGGGUUGAGGCGGGGCCUUCUUUGUGCUAUAGGCCAACAUACCCGGGCGGACCGNNNNNNNNNNNNNNNNNNNNNNNNNNNNNNNNNNNNNNNNNNNNNNNNNNNNNNNNNNNNNNNNNNNNNNNNNNNNNNNNNNNNNNNNNNNNNNNNNNNNNNNNNNNNNNNNNNNNNNNNNNNNNNNNNNNNNNNNNNNNNNNNNNNNNNNNNNNNNNNNNNNNNNNNNNNNNNNNNNNUGUAGACUCGAUGUAUAUGGCUAGACUCGGAGGGUGGACCAGGUGGACUGUAGGCCCGGUGCGGCGGACCAGUCACACAGUAAACCCGAAGUGCAUGGUUGUUCUGUUUUGUUAUGAUAUGACAUGUUAUGUGUAUGGUAUAUGUGGUUGGUAUUUUGGGGGUAUCUCACUAAGCUUUCGGGCUUACAGUUGUGGUUUAACGUUUUAGGUACUUCAUGAGACCGUGGCAAGGCGAAGGCGUGAUCGUACCGUUCCUCAUGUUUAUGUUUUAUGAUAUGGUUCUGAGAAUACUCUGAUAACAAAUGUAUUGAAAACCUUUUUGUAAUAAAUUAAUGAAAUUAGGUUGUUUUUGAAAAGUUUAAAUUGGUUGAAAUUUUUAGAGCGUUACAUAUAUAUUUGGAAACUUUUCAAUUAACAUAAAAUUAGUUUUGGAUCUUAUUUUUAUUUAAAUUGAAAUAUCAUUUUAGUUUUACAUUUAAAACAUUUAAAUGUUUUAAACUAUUCUAAAAAUAGUAAUUGUAUAUUUUGAAGUUUAUUUGAUAUUUUGAUUUAUAUAUUGGAUUUAACAUACUAUUUAAAUUAAUAUUUUCAGUAUAUUAUAUUUAUAAUUGUAACAUCUUAAAAAUCACAAUAAAAAUUUUCAUUUUAAUUAAAGUAAAAUCAUUGUUUUCAACCAAAACCCAAGAAACCAAUGUCAAGUACAAAUAUUCCAAAAUCAAUGUAUCAUAAUAACUCCAAAAUAUGUCGUUGAAGGAUGUGUAUGAUCACGCAUUUGUUUUUCCCCUAUCGUUUGAUGUACCUGAAACAUAAAACUUAAACUGUAAGCCAAAGUUUAGUGAGUUCCCCAAAAUAUCACCACACAAACAUAUAAUAUAGCAUGCAUACUGGUAAGGGUAAGAAUCGGUUCGAUUUUUUGGUUUUUCGGUUUCCACGAAUCAGUUUCCUCGGUUUGAAAUUUUUUUUGGUCAAAUUUGAAAACCGAACCAAAUCGAAUUUAAUUUCUCUAGACCAAACCGAAAACUGAAUUCUAAUUUGGUUUGGUUCGGUUUGAAAACCGAGGAAACCAAAUAUAAACUUAAAAAAAUUUCAAAUAUAAAUUAAAAUGUUUUUAACAUAGAAACCUGAAGUUGCAAAAAGAAAUAUCUAAAGUUUCAUUACAAAAUGAUCCAAAAAGUAAAUGAGUUAAAAUGAUUUUUACUUUAUUAUUAAUAAUUUUAUUUAAUAUAAAAUAUAAAAUAUAUUUUUUAAUUAGCUAAUUUAUGAAAUUCGGUUUUUUCAGUUCGGUUUGGUUUAAACAUCAUGAGACCGAAACUCGAACCAAAAACCAAAUUCACAAUUCGGUUUGGUCUUGAAUCGAAUCGAAAACCAAAUUUAAAUAUGGUUCGGUUUGAAAUCGAUUUCGGUUCGAUUUAUUUUUCGGGUUUUUUGGUUUCGGACCAAAUAAUUCUCACCCCUACAUAAUGGGCCCAUAGACAUUGGGCUAGAUUACCCUUGAGCCCACAACAUAAAUCUGACUUGCCUUUCUAGCCCAUAGCUCAUGUCUGGAUUGCUCCUGAGCCCACAACAUAAGUCUGGCUUGCCUUUCUGGCCCACAUCUUAUGUCUGGCUUGCUCCCGAGUUUGUUGGUUUCCGCAUAGAGUUGUAUUGCCUCAACCCAACCAUACUAUGUCGACAUAUACAACAGAUGAGCAUAUAACUAGCAAACAGAUAAUCAUGCAGAUCUAACAAAUCACAACAGCAUAUCAGUAUCCUAUAUACCAGGAUACAUAACAGAAUGGGCCUACAUUGGUGCCUUUGACCCACAAAUACAAUGAGGAAACUCACCUUACAAUCCGAUAAGAUAGCAGAAAAAAAUGUUGAUCCAAAAUGUCAACUCUACAGGUCACCUAUAUAGAAAACAUUGACCUAGAUUCAAUUCACAACUCAAAAUACCCAAAAUGCUCCUAGGUCAAACUUGGUCCAAAUUAUGGUUAAAGGUCAAAAGUCAAAAAGUCAAAGAUUCCUUAUGGGAUGUGUACGCCCUACGUACUCCUCUCUACAACCAAUGUAUAGGGUGCCUUUCCAAACCACAAGCUCAAACCCCAGGACGCGCAACGUACUUUUGUUACGCCCAACUUACUUGAGCUGAAUCUAAACUUUUCCAUUAAACUCUUAUUUCGUUGAGACAAAGCACCAAACUUCAUAUAUGGAUAUCACUGGAUGUCUUAAUGGAUAAAGUCUCUUACUUUAUCCAUUUGCAUGCAUUCAUGAGGGUAAAAACUCAAAUCCUUGGUCCAAAACUCCUAAACUCUUGUAUGGCUUAAUGAGAGUGUCCACGUGACAUCCUCAUUUUUACAGCCAGAAUAGACCGAUUUCGUUUAUGCUUUUAUAAUAAAAUCAGAGUAAUCUUCAAAGAAAAGUGUUGCGGAAAUUGUUCCCAAAGACAAAAUAGGACAAAAAUUUAUCAAAGCAUUUCUUAAAGAAAUGUAUUUUCAUUACAUUACAAAACUCGGGAUGUCAUCUUCGAUACAUAACAAAAGCAUAAACAUGACAUCAUGGCCACAAAAAUUGGCCUCAAAACAUCAUAGGCCUUACAACAUUCUAUUCAUUUUUCUAUAAAUCCAUAAUCUAUCGUCAGAUCAUCAAACUAUGCUUUUGCCACUACUUGUAAUACAAGAAACUGAGUGGCUCAGGCCGGGGAGCCUGGUGAGCAUAUAGUGUUUUCAAGCCACAAUAAUAAGUUUAUUAUUUAUUUUCAUCAAAUCAUUAACCCGAUUACCCGUUCGCGUAAUCCUCACUUUACGUCCCUAAAGCAUCUAUUCUAAGGGACCUAGUCUAAGGAUUUUUGUUGGAGUGACAACACUGCUUAGGGGAUUCCUCAGCAGUACAUGUCAAAUAAGGCAACCAUGGGGGGAUGGAGUGCGUCUGGUGAACACUUAGUUCAAAAACACCUAUAGGUUGUGAGCCUGCUAACGUUACACUGGAUUGCCUAGAAAAGUCUAUGGUUGUAAUCUAUACUCCGCUAGAUGACUAGAUCAUCUUCAACAUCGAGGCCUCUCAUCAUUUUAUCAUACAUCAACUAUUUCAUCUACCCAUGUUCUACCCAACAUAUUUGUAGAUAUAAAAUACAUACACUAUCCAGAUCUGAAAAACAAAGUUUACAUCUUUCAUCCAGCAUAACUUUCGAAGCAUAAAAUACAUAUACAAUCUAGAUCUGAAGAAAAGCUUAGAUCUGAGGUGAGAAAGUGUAGAUCUAAAGGAAAAAGUUUCAGAUCUGAAAGAAAAGUUUAGAUCUGAAAGAUAAAGUUCAGAUCUAAAAAGAAAGAAUCAUAAAUAUUUCAUCCAACAAACAUCUCAGGUAAACAGAUAACACACACACACACACACACAUAUAUAUAUAUAUAUAUAUAUAUAUAUAUAUAUAUAUAUAUACACACACACACACAUAGCACAUACUUUUUAUAAAAUACUUCAUAUUUAUGUGUAAUAUGAAAGUGACUAUACACUCACCUGAUAAGGGGUGAUUCGUACAACACUUUGCUUCUUAAAAUGAUCUUCUUUGAUGAAACCGCGAGGUUUGCUUGAAAACCGCUCUAUACGCGGGCAGAGUUUCAAACCGAAAAACUUUUUUUUCUCGGAGACUUAGGGCUCUCCAAGGCUUUCUUCUAGAGCCAUAAAGGUUUCCUAGGCUUCACGGGGUUGGGAUAGGCUAGAGAGAGAGUAUAGAGAAAAAGAGAAGGUGAAAUGGUGUGGAAAACUGGUCUCCCUCGCACCCCUAUUUAUAGGUGCGAGGCUUCGCACUAUGCUAGGCGUAGUUCCGAAGUACGCUGGGCGUACACCGAAGUCGUACAACACAUGUCCAAAAUGUGUAGGUGCGACAUGGAGGCUUCUAGACCGAGGAAAAUUCAAUCCGCGGGGCGUACUUCGGUACGCUGGACGUACCCCUCGAACCAGGUUCGAGAUUUCCCACUCCAACUUCAAAAAUUCAUAUCUUUCGCACACGAGCUUUGUUUUCUAUGUUCUUUAUAUCCACACGCAGGUGAGACCAUACUCUACAACUUUCGUUUAGACUCCGUUGGCUAAUUUUGAAUCUAUUUUUAAAGUUACAUUAUUAACAGGCCGGGACAAUAAAGUUCGUUAAAAAUUCAUAACUUCCUCAUCCGACGCUCGUUUUCGUCUGUAUUUUUUACCGUUUAAUUACUAUUAACGAGACCAUCUAUUCUCAUUUAGGUUGUGUCGGCCAAAAAUGGAUCGAUCUAACAUUUGAAUUUCGGGUUGUGCACUGCUGAUCCGAAACUUAGAAAAAUCAUAACUUCCUCAUACGAAGUCAGAUUUAGGCGUUCUUUUUAUGCACGUUCUCGGUUUAACGAACACUAUGACUUUUGUAUAGAUCGCUAAUUCUAAAAAGUCCUCUAUCGUAAAUUCACUAUUUACGUCACGCAGUGGCGUGCCGGUUCUGUCGCGAAACUCAACAUGUGAUAACUUCUUCGUUAUAACUCGGAUUUCGGUGUCCUUUAUAUGUACAUAAUCCUUGUCACGGCCACUACAACUUUCUUCAUCGAUUUCAGGCUUAUUUCACACUUUAUUUUUAACACUUAUUUUUAUCCUUUAUUUAUUAUAUUAUUAUAAACAAGUAUAAGACACAUAAAUUCACAUAGUAAUCAACUAAUUCAUCUUUAUUAUUUUAAAAUAGGCUACAAUGGUUGACCUAGACUAUUACAUCAUCAUUAAUUCUUAGCCCAGAAACAUGGGCGUUACAAUUCUUUCCCCCUUAGGAUGAUUCCGUCUCGGAAUCAUGCAUCAACAAACAAAUGUGGAUAGCGACUCAUCAUGCCACUCUCCGUUUCCCAAGUGAGAUUUGGUCCAUUCUAAUGUUUCCAUCGCACAAGCACUAAGUCGACCAUCUUGCGUCACAACUUCUUGGUCUUACGGUCAACAAUUGUUUCCGGUUCUUCAAUUAGCAUCUUAUUUUCAUCCAUACUUAAUUCAGAAAUUAGAAUUAUGUCGGGAACUUCUCCCGUGAACUUCCUCAAAUAACAUACAUGGAAAGUUUUAUGGAUACCAUCUAAUUCUUAUGGUGGUUCUAGCUUGUAACCUUGGUUCCCAAUCCUCUGAAGAACUUUGAAUGGUCCAAUGAACCUUGGACUCAACUUUCCUCUUUUCCCAAAUCUUAUAAGUCGCUUCUACAGUGAGACUUUAAGCAAAACCAAAUAUCCAACUUCGAAUGUCACUGGUUGUAUCUUCUUGUCAGCAUAGCUCUUUUGAUGAUCUUCAGUUGCCAACAUCCUUUCCUUAAUUACUUUCAGCUUUUCAGCUGUCUGAUGGACUAUCUCGAGGCCCAUAAAUUGCUUUUCUCCAGCUUCAAGCCAACAAGACGGCGUACAACACUUUUUUCCAUACAAAGUUUGAUAAGGUAUCAUCUUGAUGCUCAAAUGGUAACUAUUGUUGUAGGAAAACUCUACCAGAGGUAAAUGUUCAUCCCGGUUACCUUGGAACUCUAUGGUACAUGCUCUUAGCAUAUCCUCCAAUGUCUGAAUCGUUCUUUCACUCUGACCAUCGGUUUGUGGAUGGUAGGUUGUACUUAAACACAACUUUGUACCCAAUUCCUCUUGCAGACUCCUCUAAAACCUUGAUGUGAAACGACUAUCACGAUCUGAGACAAUCGUUAAAGGUACAUUAUGAAGUCUUACUACCUCCUUCAUGUAAGCAUUUGCAAGCUUUUCCAUAGACCAUCUUUCAUUAGCUGCUACGAAGUGUGCACUCUUAGUGAACCGAUCAACGACCACCCAAAUCAUGUCGUGGCCGUCCUUCGUUUGGGACAGUUUAGUGACAAAAUCCAUGGUGAUGUCUUCCUACUUACCCAUCGCACAGGUUACGCACUCGGCCAUAUACUUCGCAACAUCGAGCUUCAUCGUCGGCCAUCGGCAGUAGGGUCUCAGAUCCUUAUACAUUUUUGUGCUGUCGGGAUGAAUCGAGUACAUGGUCUUGUGAGCUUCUUCCAUCAGAAGAUCUUUUAUUCCUCCCGUCUUAGGUACCCAAAUCCUAUCUUGGAAUACCUUUAAUCCAUGAUUAUUCGUACCGAACACCAACGUUUUGCCCAAACGUUCCUCCCUUUGGUUAUUUUUCCCCUAUAUAAUCUCAUUAAGUCCCAUAAGCUUAACCUCUUACCAGCCUCCAUAUCUCCUAAACCCUAAUUUCGACUCUUAGCCACCAUUUUUGUGCUCUUGAGCUCUUGUAAAGAAUAUUGUUGUUUUCUUAUACAUUUUGAAGUGAUAGAAGGAUAUUGAAGACUCAUUGCUUGGAGUGAAGCUUAGAGAUCCAUAAUUAUCACCUCUUUUGUAAGCCAUUGAAGGUAUAAAGUUCUUAGCUUGACAAAUCCUUAUGUAGAUCUAGUUUGGGUUGAUUUAUGUCUUAUUUUGGUCCCUUUUGGUUGGUCCUUGUGAGUAAAGGUUAUUCCAGGAGUUUAGCCUCUAGAUCAUGAUGUUUUAGAGGUCCCUAAUGCAUAAAAAUGUCACCUUUGUGGGUUUUGUGCAUCUAUGCAAAGGUGAUGUCUCAUUUAUGGAGCUAAGAUGCCAAAUUUGGACUUUGGAGUAUUUUUAGCCAUGCAAAGCCUUGAAGCCUUCGACUUUAUGGGUUAGGACCUUAAUAUGUAACAUACAUGUUCAGUUAUCGUGUUUUGUUUAAAGAUUAAUAUUAUUAAAUAAUAUAUGAUUUUGAGUAUUGAGUUCUAACAAGAUAGUUUUAUGAAGAAUUGAAGUAAAACUACGUUUAGAAUCAUUUGAGAAGUAUUGGAAGUCUUGUGAGAUUCCAAACAAAAGUCAAAUAUUGAAAUUAACGAAAAUAUAAAGUUGGAAAUAAAUAAAAAUAAUGUUAUUGAAAGUUGUAUAUUAUCUCGUUAGAAACAUUUAGGCGAAAACCUCAUUGAAAUCCGAUUUAUAACGAAGAAGUUAUGACCAAUCGAAGAUCCGCGACAAAACCGACAAAAAACUAUUUAGCGUAAAAAGUGAGUUUUCGAUAAACUAAUUUUUAGCUUUAGUGAUCCAAAUGAAAUUCGUACUAUUCGUUAAACCGAUAAUUUUCAUAAAAAGAACGUCAAAAUCUGACUUCGUAUGAGGAGUUAUGAUUUUUCUAAGUUUCAGUAUAACAGUAUACAGCUAAAAACUCGAAAAAAGAUCAAGUGAUUUUUAGCCAGUGCAACCUAAACGUGAAUUCAAGGUCUCGUCAAUAGUGACCGACGGAAACGGACGUCGGAUCAAGAAGUUAUGAAUUUUUAAUGGAUUUUCCUGUCCCGGUCUGUUAAAAAUAAUAAUAUUAAAAAUAAAGUCAAAAUUAGCCGACAGAGUCUAAAUAAAAGUUGUAGAGUAUAAUCUCACCUACGUGUGCAUAUAAAGAACGUCGAAAACGGAGCUCGUCUGUGAAAGUUAUGAAUUUUGAAGUUCGGGGCACAAAAACCGAGAAAAUUCGCCUGUGUAUGGUCCGGGUUUGGCCACGUAGCACCUGCGCAUGCGAGAUGCGUGUCUGGUCUAUGGAAUGACCGAAGUGAGCCACGUCGCCCUUCCCUUGCGAGCCACCCCGUGUCCGAAGCAGGUGAGUCAUCCAAAGCGCUGGACUAAUUUGAAGCCGACGCGUGCCCCCUUACCCGCCAGCUGUCCGGCACGCAUCCUUCCCUCUUCCCUCCGGAUCUGAGCCUCGCACCUAUAUAAGGGAGGUGCGAACCUUCCCGGGUUUGGUUGGUAUUUUCCAUACUUUUUCACACUAAACUUUAUUUUAAGCCCCUUUUAAACCCCCGAAGCCUCGAGAACCUACCUAACACCCAAAGAACGUCCCGAAGUACCCGAAGACCCCAAGAAAUUUAUCUUUUCGGUUUGAAGCUCAACCCUCGCAAGGCCCGGUUUUCAAUAAAGCUUCGGUUUUCAUCGAAGAAAGUUAUUUAUAGGAAUGAAGUGCUGCCUAAAUUACUAUUUUAACCUCCGGUUAUUUCACAGUGAGUUCAAAUUAUUGGAACAAUUGUAUGUUAUGUGUUAUAUGUGUUAUGUGCUUUCCCGUAUUAUUAUGUUAAUGAUCUAUACCUUUGACUAUAAAGUGAAUGACUAAGCAUCACUUGGGUAUUGGUAUGUAGCCUUUAACCAUGAAGUGAAUGAGUAAGCAUCACUUUGGCACUGGCAUAAUGCUGGAUAGGGCUGAAAGCCUGUAAAUUCUAGCAAAAUGUUAACUCAGAAAUCGUUUAUUUUCUAUGCCACUUGGGCUAAAGUCUUAUUGAUGUAUAUCAAGUUGAAAUUGUUGUAUCUCAUUGAUUGUAAAUCUUUGAACCAGAUCAUUUGUUGAAAUGGAAAGCUUGUCACAUGAUUCACAUAUGCCUUUGUUGUUCUUUGUUCCUCUUGCUUCUAUCAUAUUGGUAUAUAGAUGACAUAACGUUAUAUUGUAUCUAUUUUUGAACUCACUAAGUGUCGCCGCUUAUCCCUUUCAUUUUUUUUAACUAUUGCAGGUAAUAAGGAUCCAGUAUAGACAUAUAAUGUUGGAAAAUUUAGAAUAGUUAAUAAUAUUACUUUUGUAUGUAGUGAUCGUGUAUGUAUAAAAUUAUAAUUUCCUGGGUAGUUAUGCAAUAUACUAAAACCUAGUUGGUUUGUAUCCAACCUUUUGUAAUUAAACUAUCAAUGUAAAAUAUUGUUUAUAAAUAUGCAUGCAACAUGUUUUGGAGUAACUUGGAGUAAUAAUGUUAAGUAUGAAAGAGGUUCUCUCAUGAUAUGAAGAUAUCAUGUGGAUUGGAUAGUAACUUCUGAAGUGAUUAAGUCAUUUGGCUAAAGAGUUGGGAUCAUGUCAGUACGUGGGGCAUACUCCUGGGUAUGCUGAGCGUACUGGCUAUGAGUCCAUGUCUGCAUCGAUCGCGUACGCAGGGAGUACGAGCUUGUUGCGCCGAGCGUACGCUAGUCUGGGCCGAAGAGAUUGUGGGUUGUAUUUUUGGGCCAUGUUUUAGACCAUUAUGAUUUCGGCAUUUCUAGGGCCAUUAGACUUCUAAUUUUGGACUUGCUUGUACUUUUAGGUUUCCUUGGAUUUAGGUCCAUGAUGGUUUUUGGGCCCAUUUUGGAAGAUUGUGCAAUAUUGGGCUUUGGGUUGCCAAAUAGGAUUUGGGUCUUUUGAAUAAUGGACUGGGCCUUGGUUUUGGGCCAUGUAAGAACAAUGGUAAAAUGGUCUUUUACACUGGUUAUGGGCUAGGCAGCUUAGACUCUUGGUCUUAGGUUGGGAUCAAAUUAUUAAUUGGACAUUAUUUUGAUAAUGAUAGCGCGGGGAUUUUCCGGACCAACAGACAGAGAUUCAUCAAGUGUUUUAGCAGCUAGAGGUGAGUUUCCCCACUGUGUGUAAUGGGUCGAAGGCACCAAUGUCGACCUAUGGUCCUUACGUUAGGAUGCUAGAUGUUUGCAUGACUCUUGCAUGUGUUAUGUGCUUGUAUGCUUACCGGGCGGGGCCCGGUGACCAUUAUGUAUGCUAUUUAUCUUUGUGAUUAUUGCAUGUGCAUGUGAUUAUUGCAUGUGCAUGUGAUUAUAUGCUUAUAUGUUUUUAUGUAUAUCGGGCAGGGCCCGGUGACUGAAAGAUAUGUAUACCGAGCGGGGCUUGAUGCCGGGCGAGGCCCACUAUAUGUUUGGUAUGUAUGGUAUGUGGUAUCUUGGGGAACUCACUAAGCUUUGUGCUUACAUUUUCAGUUUAUGUUUCAAGUACUUCUGGUUUGAAGGAAAAGAGUCUGGGAUGACUGCAGUGCACACAUCAUCUCAUUCCACAUUUUCUGAUUACUAUAAUGUUUUAUGAUGUAUUUAAUACACUUUGUCCACCAUGGUUUUAUGAUGAUGUUUGGAUAAUAAUUUUAUUAAUUUUAUAAACAAAAAUUUUUUGGUCUUAAUUUUGGGACGUUGCAAAGGGGUUGCGAGGUCUUGUUAUUAUUGGAUUUCACACACGAUUACAUCAAAAUCGAUUAAGAAGUGAAGUAACUGAGGGUAGCUGCUUUUCUUGGAAGAAGGAGAAUGGGGAAGGAAAAGACGAUGAUAGGAAUCCAUUGUGAAAGGUAGUGUUUCAUUUGGGGGAAUGCAUUUUUUUGUGUAAUGUAAAAUUAAAUAAAACAAAAAGAAAAUUAAAUUGAAAAGGGUAUAAUAGUAAUUUUAGAUUAAAAUUGCAACAAUAUGAAGCCAUGAGGAUCAACCAUGAAGGAUUUAGAAAUCAUAUGGGCCAUGUUCGUCAAUUGUUUUUAAUAGGGACUGAAGUUGUAACCUUUGGUAAACAACAGAGACCAUUUAUGUAUUUUUAUCUUAAUUUUAUUAAUAGUAACUAAUACAAACUUAAGACCAAAAAAUACUGACAUGAUAAAAAUUAAGAUAAAUGACACAUUUUUUAGUUGUAAGAUAUGCAUUUUAUAAGGGCUGGAUAAAACAAAAAAUUAAAUAUGACAGUUUAAACAAAAAUUUAUUUAAAAUUGAAAUUUUAGAUUUGAAAUUUAAAAUUUAAAAUUUAAAUUUAAAAGGAAACAUAUUAAAUACAAUAUAUGAGUAGUUAUAUUGUAAUUUAUUGACUAUUUUCAAUUAAGGCAAUUAUUAAUUGAGGUGUAAAUGACAUGUAUCCAAGUUAAUGAAAGAGUGAGAUUUGACAAAAAAAAAUCUUUACUUGUUAGAGUAAGAUGUGUAUUAAUGUAAUUAAUACCUUUUAUUCCUGAAUUCUUGUUUCUAUUAAUAUAAAUUAAUGUAGAUAUUAACCUUCAAUUUGUUAACUCAUAUUCAAUAAUUUUAAUAGAAUAGAUUAAUUAAGAUAAAAUUACAUAAAUAGUCAUUAUGGUUUAGCAAAUGUCACAAACUAAGUCUCUACUAAAUUUUUUUUUGCCAAACAUAGUAUUUGUGGUUUUCAGAACUUGCGUGGAUGGUCUUUUUACUUAUACCGUUACUUUUGGUCUUUUUAGGUAGGAGGGAUUGAAUUUGUGACAAUGGGUAAAUCAUAAGGACCACUUAUGCAAUUUUGUCUAUAAUUUAUGUUUAUAAGUUUGGAGUUUUUCCACCCAUUUACCUUUUAAAAUGACUUUUUGACCUUUUCACUUUUAACUUUAUAGAUUAUUACUUUCACCAUCGAUUUUCUAAACUUUUUUUUAUCCUCCAUGAUAUAUAUAAUAUGAUUUUCUUUAAUAACUUUCAUCCAUUAACAAAAAAAAACCAUUUUUUACGUGUUAAUUUUUAUAUAUGUGUUGGUAUAUAGUCAAGGUGAUCAACGUUUUAACUUGAAUUUAGAACUUUCGUUCGUUAACUUUAUAAAAAAUAAACAUACUUUCUUUUUCUUGAUGUAUGUGUUAGUUAAAAUUUGAGAUUGUCUGUGUUUCGACGUUAUUUUUCUUUUUUGCAUUUUUGUGCUUAAUAUUAUAUAUGUUUUCUACGUAUGAGUCCGGUUAAAUAUAAUAACUUCCGUUCGUUAAAAAAUGAGAAUUUCAUCUAUAUCCUUUAAAUUUUCAUAAUUACGUCUAUAUCCUUCUACAACUUCAAAUUACAUGUAUAUAAUUAUAAAACCUACAAACUCACAUUGAUAACGUUGAUUUUAUACAUAUAUUUCUGGCGUUUUAUUAUUAUUUUAUAUACUAUGUUUGGAACAAAAAGUACUUAUUAUACUUUAAAUUGAUAUUUUCCAAAUAUAAUAUGCUACUAGAGCGAAAAGAAAACAAAAAUACUGGAAAAUGAAGCUACAAUGCAAAAAUAAGGAUUAAUGUUGAAAUAUACUUUUACGCUACAAUGCAAAAAUAAGGAUUAAUGUUGAAAUAUACUUUUACACCAUUCAUAGUUGGUCCUAUUGAACACAGACAUGUAAUGAUCUAUGACCUGCGUAGUUAGAGUUACGCCCAACAUAAUAUGUCGGCAGGAAUUUAUAUAAAUAGCCUUUAAUCUCUAACCUAAAGGGAGAUUUAGAUUUCUAAUCAUCCUCAGUCGACAAGUAACACCUAUAUUUGUUGUUUUGAGGGUCUAGAAAGCGGUCGUAAGGUCGUUAAGCUGAUAGGACCAAAGAUCUGAAGGAAUAGAGAGCGGAUUCAUGUUGGAAAUCAUUUGGUUUGUUGUUACAACCACGAUUAGCAUUCCAAUAUGAUUCUAUAUGUAUUUAUUUUCUGGUUUAGGUAUUCAAAACCCUUUUGCUUUGUGUUAGAGUAGAUGAUUCUUUGAAAUUCCAGAUUAGUUGCUUUUCGGGUUAUUAUUUCUUAUUCAGUUUAUUACGUGUGCUUGAUAAAAGAUCCUUAUGUGUUAAAUUUUCAAUCUUGUCUGUUUAUUGUUGAACAUUGUUAAGUUUAGAUGAAUAAUCUAGCUUGAUGUGCUUGAAUCAUAUGUGUUUAUGAGUUAUACAUUUGUAUGACUAGUGUAAGAUCAAAAUCUAGGGUUAACCGGUAAGUUUGUAAUUUUAAUGUGUAAGUAUACAUGUGAUGACGAUUCAUGUGUACUAGCUUCAUGAUCUUUUAUGUUAAUAAUUCAAGUUUCUCAUAAUACGAACUGUCACACCCCCGGACCAAACGGCAGAAACGUCCGGAGGCGGGUGACUUCAUUGUGCAGUAUCAUAACAAUUGAAUAUACAUGAAACAGAGCAGUCCAAACAUCAUACAUUGAGAUAACAAACUUACAUAGUUUACAUAUUGUAUUUGUUCUUCGAGUUACACAAAAGAUACAUAAGUAGAAAACUUCAACUACAGCUAAAUGAUCUUGCAUCAACGUUCCUUGUUACCUGCUUACUAGAUCCCUGAGAAUACAAGUCGUUUUGAAAAGCGUCAACUAAAAAGUUGGUGAGUUCAUAAACAUUUUUGUAAUAAAAUCAUUUACACUUGUUUAGAAUCGUUCUCAUUGUACUUUAGGAAAAUCCGAUAUUUUCUAUGAAAUCGUUUGAAGUCUUGCCUUAAAAAUCGUGGAUAUAUGUGUGCAUGUCAUGACUUUUGUUCAUCCUUAUAAGGAGUGAUUUUGAAAAUUAGUGUGAUUUGUAAAAGCGAGUUGUGUACGAGAAUAGCUCUUUUGAAUAGUAAUAGUCAACCGUUUCAAGAAAAAUCUCUUAUUUUCAAAAGAAGGAAGUAUGGUUGAAAAUCUUGUUCUUCUUAUGGAGUGAAAUUGAUUGUGCGUUCUAGUUUAUCGUUAUCGAAAUCAUAGAAAAAUAAUUUUCUCCAGAAAAUCCUAUAUUUCCUGCUAUAAAAUAUUCGUAAGUUUUAGUUUAUCGUUAUCGAAAUCGUAGAAAAUCGUUUUCUCCAGAAAAUCCUAUAUUUUCUACUAUAAAAUAUUCAUAAGUUCCAGUUUAUCGUUAUCAAUAUCGUAGAAAAUCGUUUUCCAUAGAGUCCUACGCUUUUUAGUUUGUAAAAUAGCAGUAUUUUGACUCUAUACACGUUAGGAGAAAGAAUCAUGACAAUUGUGGACGUUCUACAUCGUGAAAAGAAAGGACAGUCAAUGCAACAAUGCGGACCAUCACCUAUCGCGUAUAGUACAGUCAACACAACGUGCCAAAGUUUAUUUAUGAGGUUUUCCUUAUAUAAAUUUCUAGUUAAUAUAACAUAUUCUAGUGAGUCAUUAUAACCAUACUAAUCUGACGGAGUGCCUGUUUUGGUGUUUCUCAGGCGUCGUCGGUUUGGAAAAGACAUAUGUCACCCUAGACGGGUUUGUCUAGCUGUAGCGAAUAGCAAAUGUGUGGGGUGUCAACCCCUUAUAGAUCUAUACACAAAUUCCUGCUCUCUCUCCAGGAGACUUUGGCUAUAACUCCUUACAGGACUUAGACGUACACUAAUAUUUUUAUAUUUAGGUACUUUUGAGAUUUGUCUGACUAGAAUAUUAACAACCUUUUGAGCAAUCGUUAGAGAUCCAUUAUUUGUUAGAUAAAUAAUGAAAUUUGUACUCAUUGAAUAGAAAUAUUGUUUUCGUUCCAUAUCGUUGAUUGUGCUCGUUAACUAGGUGCUCGUGUUCGUUCCUUUUCGUUAUUGAAAAACAAGUCAUUUUUGGUUAAGAAAAAAGUGUCAAGUUAUAAUUUGUAUAAAUUUGUAACUGCCGGUUAUGACACACAUUUUCUGUUUUAUGACAUAUAGAACAUUCCUUAUGUUGUUGGAGGUUUUAUGACAACCGUUUAUGACAUGCAAAUAUUUCUGUCAUAAAGGCUCUAUUUGUGUAAUUUCUUGACGCAAACUUUUAUAUUGAAUAUUUAUAAAAUACUUCCUAGUAGUUUGCAAAAUAGUCACAAGGCUCCUAUUUUCAAAAAUCACUAGAAAUGGUGUGCACUUAGUAAGGUCCCUUUUUAUAACUUUUGUCUUUAGACACGAAAACAUAGAUAAAGGGGUUAAGUUAGACACACCCAAUAGUUGGGAGGCUCUUUGGUACAAAGUAUCCUCUAUUCUUUAUGAAAUUUAGAAAUCCUUCGUUCAUGAGUAUAUUACUACAUAAUAAUCUAAUAAUAUUUCACACACACAUACAAACAUACGUAUAUAUGCAAUCAUUUAAGAAUUUAGGCAAGAUUGACUUGUACUCUCCCCUGAAAACAUUAAAACAUUGAAAAAGGUGGGGUACUAAGCUCACCUUAGUUACUUGUUGGGUGAUUUGAAGAGAUGAGGAGGAGUUUCCAAGUUCCAACACUUGGGAGUUCUUUUGAGCUUAGAAAUAUCCUAAGAAUAAUUUUUGUGUAAAUGUAAUGAAAUCUUAGAAUAAUGUGAAGAAUUGUUGUUCAAAGAGGAUAAGAAUACUCACCAAAGAAAUCUGGGAAUUUCCUUUGAAGAGAUGAACUUGAAGCUUGAAGGAGUUGAGAGCACUCUUAGAAGUUUGUUGGAGAUGGAAAUGAUAAGUGGGGAAAAGGAAGAAGAGGAGUUCACGUAUUCUAAGUGGAGGGAUAAGAGUGAUAUGACACUUGCUUGGAGGACCGGUGUACAAGACUUAUAUCCAUGGGUUAAUGUGUGUUUAUUUGGGAUUUGCAUGGGAAAUCAGGAAUUUCAUCAAAUCACAAAGUCAAUCCCUUUUUCAUUUUCUUGAUUUAGGAUAAGGUUUUCCUAAAUCCCAACCAUUUAUUUUUAUGAAGAAUAUGCUUAAAAUAAUUAAUUUUAGCAUAAAAUAGGGAUCUAAGGGGUUUAGGAUAGGAAAAAUACGAGUUUGGUAGAAUUUCCGGUGUCAAAAUGUCUUAAAAUGGUGAAAAAGUCCGAAAAUAAUGAAAAUCCGGAGUGGGGGUUGGUUCCUGCGAGGGUCCGAAGGUCUGAGGGAAGUUCCGGAUUGCUUAGGGAGGAUUCCAGAGUCAAGUCCACACUUCCGGAGCACUUUCUCGGAUUCCGAAGUCAUCUGUUUCAUUUCGGAGCGAAGCUAGCAGUCCGGACCAAGGGUUCCGAAGUCAGCUGAACUUUCCGAAGCGAGACUAGCCUUCCGGAUGAGAGGAUAUUGCGAGAUGGUCCGGAUGAGAGGAUUCUGAGGCAAGAAGGUUCCGAAGCAAGAAGCUUCUUGGUUUCUUAGAAGGUAUCCGGACCAAGAGGGUCCUUUUCGGGCUUCCUCUUCUGGUUUUGAGUUGUUUUCGACUGAGGAGGGUACUUAGGGAGAUUUGAGAGAGAUUUGAGAUACGUGGAGAGAUUUCACAUACUUGGAGAGAUUUGGGAGAGAUUCACUAUUCUUGGAGAGAUUUUGCAUACUUAGAGAGGUUUGGGAGAGAUUUCACAUACUUGGAGAGAUUUGGGAGAGAUUUCACAUACUUGGAGAGAUUUCACAUACUUAGAGAGAUUUGUGAGAGAUUUCACAUACUUGGAGAGAUUUAGGAGAGAUUUCACAUACUUGGAGAGAUUUUGCAUCCUUAGAGAGAUUUGGGAGAGAUUCACUAUACUUGGAAAGAUUUGGGAGAGAUUCGCUAUACUUGGAGAGAUUUGGAUUCUAACACUAUAUGGCUCCUUAGGAACUUAUAUUAAACACUUAGGUGUGUUAGCACAAGCCUCACAAUAGUCCUUGCUUACUUGAGGAUGAAAUUUCCUAGCCAAAAAGGCUAGUUGUGACACGAACUGAAUACUGCUUUUUAGGACAAUUAGUGCACUUGAUCACUGUAACUAAAAGCCUCAAAGAUCAAAGCAUUAGUUGUCUAGACCAGGAAAUUAGUCAUAUUAGGAAUCAAAGAAUAAAGAACAAAUAACUCUUAUAUUAGUAAUUAUCUAUGAUUUGGAGAAGUAAUUUUGUGUAAACCAAAGUACCUAAAGAUAUUCCUUUCUAGUCAGUUUAUCAAGAUUAGUUGUUUAUUUAAUUAAGAUUUUAUAAUCAUAAACCUCCCCCCCCCCACAUACACACACUUACACUUUUAUUUCUUUAGUUUAUAUAUAGUGUAACCUAUAAUAAAAAAUUCCAAAUUAAUUCACUAUCAUUCCCCAAGUGUUAGACAUUUGGUCUUACCACAACUAUAAUAUUGCACAAUUAGGUUCACUGCCUAGUGUGUGUAUUUGUCCGGUUGCGAUAAAAUCAGUUUUAUAAAUUUAAAACUUGAGAAAUUAAUAUAUAUAUAUAUAUAUAUAUAUNNNNNNNNNNNNNNNNNNNNNNNNNNNNNNNNNNNNNNNNNNAUAUAUAUAUAUAUAUAUAUAUCAUACAUCCAGUUUUUGGCGUCGUUGCAGGGGAUCAAACCCGGGUCACAUACAUAGGGAACAAUGCCCAUUUUUUUGAUGAUUUGUUUACUAGGUUGUGUAGGGUGGUUCUUUUGUGUUUAUUUUUACAGGUUAAUGUCUAGAAAAAAAUCAAAUGGGUGAUCAAAAUCAAGCUCUCGAAGAAUUGACUGACCACCAUUUUUUGCAAUUUCCAAGGAACUUGAAUGCAUGAACACCUUCAAGGUAUCAGAGUUGGCUUAGUCAGUUUCGUCAAAAAGAGAUUGACCACCAUCAUUUGACUAGGAAUUGGCUCCAAACUGGAUUGGAUAACCUAAUCUGCGGUUUUUUUGACAUACGCCCACUUGGGCAUAGGUGGCGUGCCUUUGUUUACAUGCCAUGAUUAGAAAAUUUUGUUUAGAGUUCAGGAGCCUAUGUAUAGGGAGUUUUUUCUAGAGUUAUGUGCUACACUCGCUUUUGAUUGUACCAAGUCUGUUGGUGAUAGGACUUCCUUUUUGUAACACCCGGUUCCAGGUACGUAUUUAAUUCCAAGUAUAAUUGUAUUUUACCCUGGGACUCGGCGAAUUGAAGGCCCAACUCUUCGAGUAAAGUCGACUUUUCGCGCGGAUUUUAAGUGACCUACUCGACGAGUCAGGAGACCGACUCGACGAGUAGGAGCUGUCUGGACAAAACCCUAAUAUUUAGGGUUUGCACCCUAUUUGAACACCUUAAGUGGUUCCCUUUGUAGCCUCCAAAUCCCCCCAAACCAUCCCCACGAAACCGUAGCCGUUUUUGAGUGAUUUUGAGCUCUUUGUGCCAUUUUGUGCAAGAUAGAAGGUUAAAGAGAAGAAGAAGGAGCUUGGGAUUUCAGAAGGAGCAAGGAGAUCCAGAGGUUUUGCUUCAUUUCCUGUUUAUUUGAGGUAAAAUGUCCAGACCUUGCUUCUCCUUUCAUUAGAUACUCUUUUGGAGUAAUUUAGGGUUUUUGGAAGCCAUUCUUGGAUUCAACUACGAUUUUGGGAUAAAGACUUCAGAUCUGGAACCAUUGAGGGUUCCCAUGGCAUAAAGGUGCCAACUUUAUGGUCAUGGGAGACCUAUACAUCAUAUAAACUCCUUUUAUGGAUUUUUGAGCCAAAAGCCCCAUGCAUGGACGUCAAGUUUGUAGCUUUACGUGAAAAAGGGACCCUAGGAAGCCAUAUCUAUAGUUUUGAUGCGUUAAGACCCACAAUAAUCGACUGUAUAGUUUUAGACAAAGAAGGACUCGGGGAGUCACUUAGGUGACUCGGUGAGUCUGGUCGCUUUCCCCCCAAAACGUCUUCUGGAAAUGGUUUUGGUUGAGUGGUAGGAACACUCAGCCUGCUAGGGGUUUGUUUUGGACCUGGAAAUCAUAAGACUUGGUGAUUGUAUGAACAGACUCGGCGAGUCCAAGGCAAUGUCCCAACCUCAUGAAGACGGACUUGACGAGUUCAUCGAGAACUCGGCAAGUCAGAUGUUAGACUCAUUCAUUCGGAUGAAGAUGAACUCGGCGAGUGAGUUGAAGAUAGUCAAAAGGUGUGGUUGAAGGUGAACUCGUUGAGCUCUUGCUAGACUCGAAGAGUAAGGACGAGAUUAUGACAGUAAGGGGACGAGGGGACUCGACGAGUUGGUGGACCAACUCGGCGAGUCGAGUCAAUUAGAAGUUGACUUUGACCAGGAUUUGACGUUGACUUUGACUUGGUUUUGGGUUUACCCUUGUAAGGGUUAUGAGUAUGUAAUAGUAAUCGAGAAAGGUCGUUGUGUAGGGAUUGAGGAGUAGAGACGAGUUGGUUUCAGUGUAGAGUACUAUGCAGAUACUACACUACAUCGAGGUGAGUUACCUUCCAGUAGGAAUAGGUCUAAGGCCACAAUGUCGGCCCAUCAUUUGGAGUUGCUUGAUAGAUGAAUGUAUUUGUGAUAAUUAUCUAGGUUUACUAUUAUUUGUUAUGUUUUAUGUGCUAGCAUGAUAUGACAUUAUGUGAUAGUAGUAGUAAGGGGGAAAAGUCCUCGGCUACCGGUUGAUAGGGCCAAAGGGGUAGCCUAGUAUCCAACUAUGAUAGACAAUAUGUUUAUGUUAUGUUAUGUUAUGUUAUUACGUGGUAGCGGUAGGGGUGAAAUAGUCCCCGUAACCAAUUGAGAUACACCGGAGGGUAGGUCGUGCACCCAGAUAUGCCUGACAGGGUAGGCCGGGCACCCAAAUAUGCCUGGCAGUAUGUGAUUUGUAUAGUAUGUGGUAGGAAUGAGAAUUUUGCCUGAAAACCCGAACCGAACUGAACCGAACCGAACCGAAUUAGACCCGAAUAACCAAUUCGAUUCGGUUUUCGGGUAUCUAUAUUAGGCUUAUUCGGUUUUCGGGUUAUUCGGUCCGGGUUACCCGAAUAAGGGCUUAUUCGGUCCAAAAGGACCGAACCGAAUAUGAAAAGUCGCAUUUUUUUCCUAACACGAUUGCUUAUUCGGUCUUCUUUUCUAUCAAUUCUUACCCAACAAAACCCACGUAAUACACAAAAAAAAAUCAACGAAAUCGAAUUUCAUCAUUCGUAUUACACCAAAUCGACAGUAGCGUAUUACACCAAAUCAACGAGUCGACGACAUUACUCUUUGAUCGAAUAAGGUUUUUCUCAUCCUUGCGACAUUACUCUUUGAUCGACAGUUGCGGCUGCUACCCUUGCGACUUGCGAUAACUUGGACUUAUUGAUCGAUCAUCACUAGUUCAAAGUUCAAACUUCAAAGUCCAUUCACGAUAAGAAAAAAAAACGUCGGCCCUUGCGUCUGGAAAAAAUAAUCGUCUCCUAAUCCUUGUUUUCUAGUUUAUACUGUGAUGAAAUUUUGAAAGACGAUGAGGUCGCGAAAGCUUUAGAAGAGGUGAUAAAGAACGGAGAUGGAAAGGGAAAAUAGCAAAUUAAUAUUCCCGAAUAGUUAAUUCGUGUUUGAAAAAUGUUAUUUUGGAUAUGGAUAAAAACUUAAGAUUCAUAUUUUAAUUUGGGUGUUGAAUGUUUAAUGUUUAACUUAUAUACUUAUAGAUAGAUUUUUGGGUGUUUUGGAUGUUUAAUUUUUAGUGUUUAAUUUGUUUCUUUAAAAGAUUAGUUAUGAAAUCAUAAGCUACAAAAGUCAUACAAAAUACAAUAUUUAUAAUCGCAUUGUAAAUGUUAUUUGUAAAUGUUAUUUGGGUUAUUCGGCUCCUUAAUCAUCUUGUACAUAUUAUUUGGGUUAUUCGGGCCGGAACCGAACCGAACCGAAUAAUACCUGAACCGAAGCGAACCCGUAUUGCUUAUUUGGUUUGGUUUUCCGUUCAUACAAUUACCCUUAUUCGGUUUUCGGUUUAUUUGGGUUCGGUUCGGUUCGGUUCUGAACUGAAUAACAUCCCUAGUAUGUGGUAUGAUGGGGGAAACUCACUAUGCUUCGUGCUUACAGUUUUCAGUUUUGUUUCAGGUACCUCUUCAGCAAGGGGAAAGGAGCCGGUGUAGUAGCGGCAUAUCACANUCGGCGCGGUAGCUGCACAUCACACACACACACAUCAGAUUUCCGCACUAUGUGAUUCAUGGGAUUGUACUAUGAUUUUAUUACUGAUCGAUGUUUUGAUUUUGAGACAUGUUCAUGAUGAUUUAUGGAUUGAUAUGAUAUCGACAAUGUUUUCCGUAAAUGAUUUUAUAAACUACUUAAUUAAAAACGAAAUUUUUGGACUUGAAAUUUGGGAUGUUACAAUUUUCUUUUAAACUUGGUGGAGUUAGUAUAGAAUGUAGCACGAUUGAUUUUGCUACUAGAGUGGGGAUUUACAUUGUGGACGAGACGAGGAUCAUCCACUUCCAGGAGUUUCUUACAUCUUGUAUUACAUUACCGCCUGAUGAUUACAGUGAAAGUGAUUUUUGGGCUAAGCAUGUGUCAUCGAUUGCAUGAGGCAAUAUGAUUCGCUUGAUUACUUAUCGAUUAUUGCACUAGUUGAUUUCUAGCUCUCUCACAUAUCAUAAGAAGAGAGGGUACCUUCGAAGUAUCUAUUUUUAUGGACAUUUAUCACUCUAGGGAGGUACCUGAACCUCCUAGUUGUUGUAGCUAUAUAUUUGGCGUGAAAGGCUAGGGGGCUUGAUGAGUAUAGCCCAAUUUGUGGUGGGCAUUUCGUUACUAUAUUGGCUCGAUCUUACUCCUUAUUGAUGAGAGAGAUUACGAGGAUGAUGGUACAUUAGGAUGUGAGGUUGAUGAGUUUAAAAUUUUUAGAGGCGUUGAGGUUUAUAUUACGUAGUGAUGAUGGCAUCUUGAGGAUUUGACCCGAUGACGCGGUACUAGAGGAGGUUGCAACAACACCUGAGCCACAGAGACUUGGGAGGCAUAUGCAUGCUCCUAUAGGAAUGCAACAAGACCAAUGCAUGAGAUUGAUAUCUAUUACAUUGCUCAGUGGAUGGACAACCGUAUACAUGUGAUCGAGGCUAGACAACAGUGGUUUGGAGAUGCAUGAACUGGAUUCUUUUCCUAUUAGGGUUAUCAUCACCCGUUCCCUUUUCCUACACCAUACCGAUAGUCGGGUAAUGGAGUCGGCCCAUCAGGGACACACCAACAUGAUGACAAGUAACUACGGUUAUCCAUUUUAGUUUUAUUUUGUGUUUAUUAUACCUAGUAUUUUAGUAUUUUAUUUUGAUAUGUUUAUUUUUCGUCUGUUUAAAUUAGGAUGUUAUGUUUUAUUUUUAGUUUAUGUAAUUUUCUUUAGUUUUCUAUGUUGAUGCUCUUUAAUGUUUUAGAUUUUUGUAGAAUUUUCGCCCUUUUAAUGUUGGCAGUAAGUUCAACCACUAGGACAGUGUGCGAUUUUGUCAUGAGAAAUAUUUCAUGAGAGGCAUUGCAUCACAUAAGUGUGGGUUCACUUACCCACACAAGAGCGGGAACAUGGCUUUAUUGAAAGUCAUUACAUAUACGAGAGAAGAGACAAAUGUUUGGCCGACACAAAUCUACUUCUUUUUAUUUACUGUUCCGAGAUCUUUAUAUUUUCUAUUAUAUGGUGUUUUCGUCAACCGCUUCGCGCACCGUGUCCUGAUUUGAGAAGUAAAAAAAAGGGCAGCAAGUUCGGUUUUUAGUUUUUCAGUAAAUUUUGGAGCAACAUUAUUCUUAAAGCAACCUACUAUCAUUUCGAUAUCGCCACUACUACCCUAUGGGAGUUUGUUCCUUUUUCUCCCUUUAGCUUCUAUAUGCUUUAAUUGUUUAUGCAUACAAUGAGGAAAUUGUAUAAAAUAAGUGUUGGGUAGGGGUUCAAAUAUAGGAACACAAGCAUGAUGAUUUAAGAACAAAUGGCUAGGAUUUAAAAAACAUGAGAGUAUAAAGACUUGAAAUAUUGGACUAAUUUUGAAAUCUAGUUAAUAAACAUAACCUUGUGUAGUUUGACGGACAUAAUAAGUUUAGCAUCGUGUACCAGAAAUAUAUCCAGGAAUGCUUAUAUAGUCAUUGCACCUUAGACUAAUGUCUUUAAUCAAUAAGGGCUGAAGUUAAUCUCCCUUGCUUAAGCAUAUAUUUUUCGUUUUAGGGUUUUAGUUUUGAGUGAGUAACAAAAAAGAGAAAUGAUAAGUGAAUAAAAGCUUACAAAGUCUAAAGAUUUGAAGAUUAAAGAUAUUGAGGAAUGAAGCGAAAUUGCUAAAAGUCACAUUAGUAUUUUAUUUUAUUGUAAUUUUUCUUUUUAAGUUAUUUUUCUAUAUGUAUACUUCGAGGAUUAUUAAAAAAUUACCUUGAGGUUAAGAAAGAUUUAUUUGGAUGGAUGCAUAAAAUUAAUGUCGUUCAAAAUAAAUGGUAAGUGUUUAUGAGGAAUGUGAGUAUUUAGGAAUGAGAAGUACUGAGGAAUCAUUAGACACACAUACAUGGUUUGCAGUUCCAGUGUAAUAGAUGAGUUCAAAAUGGAUUGUCUUGUGCGAUGUUGGUAGCUAAGGUUUUGAUGUGAUAUUAUGAUAAUCAUAAAAUCAAUUUUGCUCAAGGGCAAGCAAAAGACUAGUGUGGAGUAGUUUGAUAACGCCUAUUUUAUACAUAUAUUUUCGGUGUUUUCUUAUUAUUGCAUACUAUGUUUUGUUAUUAUUUGGAACAAAAGUUACUUAUAAUACAUUGAAUUAAUAUUUUACAUAUAUAAUAUAUUAAUAGAGCGAAAAGGAAGCAAAAAAGAUUGGAAAACGGAGUUGGAAUGCAAAAAUAAGGAUUAAUGCUGAAAUAUGUUUUCACGCCCUGCGUAAUCUUGCUACGCCAUGCGUAGCUGGUCCUACUGAACACAUGCAUUUAAUGAUCAACGCCCUUCAUAGUUAGAGUUACACCCCGCAUAAUACAUCAGCACAAAUUUGUAUAAAUAGCCAUUUAUCUCUAACCUAAGGGGAGAUUCAGAUUUCUAAUCAUCCUUGGUCAACAUGUAACACCUAUAUCUGCCGUUUUGAGGGUCUAGAAGGUGGCCGGAAGGUCGUUAACCUGAUAGGAGCAAAAAUUUAAAGGAUUAGAGAGCAGAUUCAUGCCUGAAAUCAUUUGGUUUGUUGUCCCGACCACGAUUAGCAUACCAAUAUGAUUAUGUAUGUGUUUACUUUCUGAUUUAGGUAUUCAUAACCCUUUUGUUUUGUGUUAGACUAGAUGAUUCUUUGAAAUUACGGAUUAAUUUCUUUUCGGGUUAUUAUUUCUUAUUCAGUUUAUUAUGUUUGCUUCAUAAAAGCUCAUUAUGUGUUAAAGUUUCAGUCUUUUUCGUUUAUUGUUGAGCAUUGUUAGGUUUAGAUGAACAAUCUAGCUUGAUGUGCUUUCAUUAUAUGAGUUUAUGAGUAAUAAAUUUGCAUGGCCGGUGUUAGAUCAAAACAUAUGGUUAAAUAGUAAGUUUGUAAUUUCAAUAUGUAAGUAUACAUGUGAUGACCAUUCAUAUGUACUAGCUUCAUGAUCUUUGAUGUUAAGAAUUCAAGUGUCUCGUAAUACGAACUGAAUACUGAUUUAUAGGAUAAUUAAUGCACAUGAUCACUAUAACUAAAAGUCUCAAAGUUCAAAGGAUUAGUUAUCUAGACCAAGAAACUAGUCAGAUUAGGAAUCAGUGAAUAAAAAAUAAAUAACUUUUAUAUUAGUAAUUAUCUAUGAUUUUGAGAAGUAAUUUUCUAUAAACCAAAGUACCUAAAUAGAAUCGUUUUCAGUCAGUUUAUCGAGAUAAGUUGUUUAUUUAAUUGAGAUUUUAGAAUCAUACCCCCCCAACUUCUAUUUCUUUAUGUUAUUUAGUGUAACCUAUAAUAAAAAAUUCCAAAUUAAUUCACUAUCGUUCCUCAAAUAUUCGACACCUGGUCUUACCACAACUAUACCAUUGCACAACUAGGUUCACUGCCUAAUGUGUGUAUUAAUCCGAUUGCGAUAAAAUCAACUUUUUUAAAUUUAAAACUUGAGCAAUUAAUAUAUAUAUAUAUAUAUANNNNNNNNNNNNNNNNNNNNNNNNNNNNNNNNNNNNNNNNUAAAACUUCAAAUUACAUUUAUAUCCUUAUAAAACCUAUAAUCACACAUAUAUACCCAAAUAAUUAAUUUAAUCAUAUUUAAUAUAUUAAAAAUAAUAAAAACGAUAUCUUUAAGUUGAUUUUUAUUAUUAAGAAAAAUAAUUAACUUGUAGCAUUAUAAUAUUACCCUUCUUUCACAUUGCUAUUCUCGACCUAUUUACUUUAUGAACUUUUAAAAAAUAUUGACACCCACAUUGAACUUAGUUUAUUUGUGAUUUUAUCUUUAACUAAGAACCAGAGGAAGAAAAAAAAUUGUUUAGAAGAGAAUAAUCUUAGGUCUCUUAAAUCAAUUGUAGGAGAUGGAAACUGUUGAUUAGUAAUCAAUUAGGAAUAUACAAUCAUCAGGUUUUACUAAUCAAUUAUGCAAAAUAUGAAGCGGAAAAAAAAUCAAGCCAUAAGUAACGAUAUCGCGAAUAAGGACAUCAAUUAUGGGAGGGAUUGCAAAUGAGUAUUUUAGUAACUUUGUUAUGAUAUAGCUUAAAUAUAAUGUUUUUUAUUUUUAAAUAUGUUAAUUAUCAUUUAAUUAAGUAUUUGGGUAUAUAUGUGAGUUUAUACGUUUAUAAGGAUAUAUAUAUUGUGAAGUUUUACAAAGAUAUAAAUGCAAUUAUGCAUGUGUAUAAAGAUAACGAAGAAGUUUUCCUUAAAAAAUAUAUUUUAUUUGAGUUUGUCUGCGUUUCGAUAUAAUUUUUUCUAGGUUUUUGUGGUUAAUUUAAUAUAUGUUUCGUACUUAUGAGUCGGGUCACAUAUAACAUUUUUCGUUCGUUAACUAAAAAAACUAAUUUUUAUGUGCUUAUUUUUAUGUAUGUAUCGGUAUAAAUUAAAUAUGAUCAACAUUUUAAUGUAAAUUUAGAACUUUUGUUCAUUAAUUUUAUAAAAAACUUACUUGUUUUUUUUAUGUACGUAUUAAUAUAAAUUUGAGUUCGUCUACAUUUCAACAUAAUUUUUUUUAUAUGUGGAUGCUUAUUUUUAUGUACGUGCUAAUUUUUUUCGUUCAUGCUUAGUAUUUUACGUACCAAGUAUUGACAAUUGUAUUGAUAAAAGUUAAGUUGAAACGUAAAAAAUAAGCAUGAACAAAAAUAACGAAGCUAUGGGUUAUAACAUUGGGUAUACAUGUUAUAGAAGCAAAGAUGAUUUCCGAAAGUAAUAUAGGAAACCGUAUGUUUGGUCCAGGAAAAUAUUUGACGCCUUUGGAUGAAAAGAUUCCUUUCACAUUUCAAUUAAAACAAUAUUCACUGUAUGUUUUGCGAUGACAAUAAACAAGAGCUAAGGACAGUCAUUAUCGAAUGUGAGACAACCAAUGUUCACUCAUGGCAAUGUAUGUUGCACCAUCUAUAGUUAAAAACUGAGAUGGAUUAAAAAUAUUAAUUUUAGACAAUGACGGUAACUUAGCAAUAUGGUAUCUAAUGUUAUAUUCAAAGAAUUUUCUGAAAAUUUGUAAUUCAUAACAAUUAUUUACAAUAUGGCACUGGUUUUUUUUUUGUUAGUAUAGAUUCAAUUAUCCAUUUAUUCAUGAUUUUUUUGUAUUUAUUUUGAAUUGUUUUUAAAAUUUUUUAAUUUUUACAUCUUGAUAUUCAACACAAUUAUUUAUAACAUGUGAAUAGUUUUUAUUAGUAUUGAUUGAAUUACUUACUUAUUCAUGAAUUAUUUUGUUAUUUAUAUCAAAAUUUUAUUUAAAUUUUUUUUAGUGUUUACACCUUAUAUUUAACUUUUUUUUAAUUAAUCUGCGUUGUANNNNNNNNNNNNNNNNNNNNNNNNNNNNNNNNNNNNNNNNNNNNNNNNNNNNNNNNNNNNNNNNNNNNNNNNNNNNNNNNNNNNNNNNNNNNNNNNNUUUUAUCAAGGUGUGCGUCAAGUUCAAUCAUUGGAGCCAUGACGAGCUGUUUAUAACCAUGAUAAUAAUCAAAUUAUUCACUAAUUGGAUAAAACCGAAUUAUCCAAUUGAACAAUUUGGUUCGGAUAAUCAGAUUUGGUUUUCAGCAAAAUUAAAUUAUUACUCUGGAUUUCAGAUUGGAUUUGGUUUAUAAAUUAAGAUUGAAUAAUCCAAAAGACCGAAUAAUAUUUAUUUAUUUAUCUAUUUAUAUUAUUUACUUUUAAUGUAAAGUAGUAUAACUUUUCUUAUUAGUUGUUUACAAAUUUUUAAUUGUUUUUAUUUCUUUUUGGCAAAUUAUCAAGUUUUCUAUAUCUUUUUAAAGGUCCCCGAUCUUGAAAAUAGUAAAAUCCGAUCCCACCGAAUAGUAAUUUGGUUGAUUUGGAUCAAAAUUUAAUUUGAACUAUUUGAUAUUAUGUUUUGAAAACUAAAACAAAUUUGAAAUCAUUUGAUUGGAUUGGACCAAGUAUAGCCGCCCAAUCAAACGUCCCUUAUAAUUAGGGGUGUUAUUGGUUAGGUUUUUUUGGUUUUCAGUUAAAUCGUUUCGAUUUAUUAGUUUUCUUUAUAUUUUAAGUCUAACCAUAAUCAAACCAAACAAGGUCCGGUUUAAUUGAUUUUGGUUCAUUUGGUUACGGUUUAUUCGAUUCGGUGUUCCGGUUAAACCGAAUAAAAUGUCGCACAUAUAAAUAAAUAUUAAACAAAAAAAAGAACUUACUAAACUAUUACCAAAUAAGGAAAACUAGGGUUUGACCGUCCACGCGAUGCUGCGGAAGUCCCAAUAUGUUAAAAAAUGCAGAUCGACACUAUACAUACCACAGAGAUGAUUAAACCAUAUAAAGUGGAGCACAAAAAUAUAAAAAUAAAACUUGGAUACCAAUAUUUAUGUACGGAGGAGGCCGACGAAAAUGAGACUUAAAAUUGUAUCAUAAAGAAAUUGAUAAAAAAAAAGAUUAUUAAAAAAAUAUGUAAGGGGUUAAAGUGUAACUUUAAAAUAUAAUAGGGGAUCAAAUCAUAAUGUAUAAAAUACCAAUAAUUUAACUUUAAAAUUAUGAGGGAUGAAAAGUUUUAAAUAAAAAUUAAUUGAGGGGAAAAGAUUAUAAAUAUGAAAAUUUUCUAUGACCAGAACCUAAAUUGUUAUUUCCAGAAAACUAUUGUUUUUCAUUUAAUAAUGAAUGGUUGACAGUAUACAACAUGAUUUGGUUUUAGUAAACUUGGAUUUGGAAAUAGAAAAAAGAAAUAUAAAUCGUGGCAAAAUCAUAGACAAAGAAAAUGACACCGCAGCACAAUCCACGGAUAAAAAUAAAAGUUGAAAUGAAUAGUGAUACUCCUCACAAACCCAUUUUGGUAAUAUAUAUAUAUAUAUAUAUAUNNNNNNNNUAACAUAUUCAAUCAUUCAUGAUGUACCGUCUUGAAGAGCCAAUAAAGACACACAACUUUUAAAGAUAGGUUAACAUAACUUUACUUAUAUACUAGGCGAAUGUCUGCGCGUUGCGUAGAAAGACCUAUAUAGUUGAAAUUUUUACAAAUAUAUAAAAUGUUGUUAUAAAAUUUGAUAUAAUAAUUCGCAUACUAAAUUGAAAUAAUAUACUGAUUAUUUUGAAUUACAUGAUAGUAUAUACAUUUAUUAUAACUGCAUAAUAUUAAUCGUUUAAAUGAGUUCUAACCGCGAAUUACUUAUGAAUAAAACUAAAUAUAAUAUAUGGUUUAAUGUUAUUUAUAGUUGUUGUUAUUGUUAAUUAAUUUUUUAAAAUUCAUUUGUUUAACGUUUUAAUUUCUAUCAUUGUAAUUAUUAAAACAUCAAACAUUGUUUUUUUUUAUUUUAAAGGUUAUAAUCAUUUAUAUAGACUUAUUUAUAACUAUUGUUAUUGUCAGUUAUUCUAAGCUACUUAUUUGAAAAUUUUUAAUGAUUAUAAAAAUAUCUUUAAGAAAUAUUUUAGUUAAAUUAAGAUUACAAUUUACUUUUUGUAUUUAACACUACAAUUUAUCACUUUUAACUAUUCACAAAAUAUUCAUUGGGUUAUUAAGUGGAACUGAAAUUUAUAUUUAAGUUGACACUGUAAUGUUAUAUUAAAAUUAACAAUUUAAGUAUUUUGUCUAAACUGUUCAAAAUUUAUAUCUUUAAACUGAUAAUGGUUUACAUACAACAACAUAUUAAAUCUAAUAAAUUAAGUAUAAUAUGUUAAAAGUUAACGUCAUAACUUUAUAAGUAGAACUAAAGAUAUUAUUUUAAUAUUGAAAUUUAGUUUAUUUAUGGUACACUUUAGACUUGAUAUUUAUUUAACCUUAUUAACCAAAUUAUAAUCAUUAUUAGAAACACCGUACAAUUUAUCACUUUUAACUAUUUACAAAAUAUUCUUUGGGUUGUUUAAGUUAAACUAAAAUUNAGUAUUUUAUACAAAUUGUUCAAAAGUUGUAGCUUUAAAAUGAUAAUGGUUUACAUCCAACAAUAUAAUAAAAUUAAUAACUUAAGUCACUACUAGAAAAACAGCCUUUUACGACGCGUCGUAAAAGGCUCAGACGACGCGCAAAUGCGCGUCAAGAAAGACCCUGUCAUAAAGAGAAACGACGCGCUUUUACGCGUCGUCUAUAGAUGACGCGCAGUUACGACACGCGUUUACGACACGCAAUGCGUAUCAAGGAAAGCCCUGUCAUAAAGGAAGACGACACGCAUUCGCGUGUCGUAACCUUACGACGCGCGUGUUAAUGACUCGCAAUGCGUAUCAAGAAAGCCCUGUCAAGAAAGGCCAUGUCAUAAAUGAAGAUGACACACAUUUUUGCAUAUCAUAAUUUUAAAUGUUAAAAUUUUUUUUAAUAGAUUUACUAAGUUUCAAAUUAAAUUUGCAUUUAAUGUCUCAUAAUAGAAAAUAAAAUAUCAUAUAUAAAAAAUAUAAUCCAUUUCAUAAUAUUUAAUGUAAAAAGAAGGGAUUACCUUACUUUUAUUGACAUGAAUUGUGGAUGUAACAUUUAAAAACCGAUUUAAUAAAAGUGUAUAUUUUUUUAAAUAAAAGAAAAAUGAAAACACUUAAUAAGACACCAUCGUUAUAGUGUAGGCGCCAUGGCAGAUAUGCAGAUCUGGACAUCGGGACCCUCCCUCUAUCUGUCCACUCACCCCAAAGUAGUUAUACCCUUAGUCCAAAUACUCCUACUAAUGACCUCCUGUUUCAUACCCCUCUUUUUGCAGUUAUUUUAUUUGUUUUUAGAUAUAUUAAAGUUUGAAUAAUUAUCGUUAUAUAAAAUAUGACUACUCAAUACAAACACAAAGGAAUUAGAGAAGGAAAAGAAUCUACUACACAAUGCUUAUAUAUCCAAAUUUUUAUUAGGUAUUAAUAUCAUGAUCAAUUACAUUGUUCGAACUAUAUACAUACAUAUGGUUAUCAUUUUGACCUUUAACUAAAUUGCAUCUCAAAUGGUUAAAUCUUUUUUUUUUCUUGUGUCCCCCCUUCUUAACUGAUAGCAAUCUCCUCAGUCAGGGUCUCUAAUAUUUUUAUAAAAACUAAAAAAUAUAGAAAGUAUUAUAGAUAUGAAAUAAUGAGUGAGCCAGGUUAGAUUUUAGGAGAGUAUAAUUUAAAGGAAGUAACUAGUACCUAAGUUGCAUUUGAUUCUCUAAUAGUAGUCGUCAAUCCAUGCAUGCUUUAGGGAAAACUUCAUCAGUUUGAGUACCCCACCACACAACUAACAUAGGGAGGAGGUAUGUGCAUCAUUUGGAUUUCCUCAUAACUGAAAUGAUAAACAAAAUUGUUAAUAUAAAGUGUUCAAAACCUUAAAACAAGGGCCUACUUUAUAAACCUGAAGGAAAUAAUUUUCUUAUAGAAGUUUAUACUAUUGAUGGAGCUACAAUUAUCAGAUGACAGGUGGAAACUUCAAGGUUGAUGAUGGUGGUGUGCAAGAUGACUGGUAGUGUUCAGAGACUAUUUGACCCAAAACAAGAUUCUGAAAGUGUUACCUUGUCAACAUGUUGACUUUGUGAAUUAAAUAAGAAAGUGUUACCUUGUCAACAUGUAAAAGUUUGUUUAAGUAUAUUUACAAAUUUUUAUUAAGUAAUAGGCUGAAGGAUUCUUGAGGUUGAAUUCUUUCUGUUGAGCUAACUGUCAAGCAACACUAUGAUAAAAGAAAUAAAGCCCUGCUAUCAUAAGAGCUGGGAUGAAGGCUGCAAAGAUGUAUGCAGGGGGGGGGGGACUUCUACGUUUUCCUCCUCUGGACAAAUUUUAUUGUUUGCUCCUAAAAGCUCCUACAAGUACAUAAUUUGGGAAUUGAAUCUUACACUUUGAUACGCUCUCACUAAAACAGGAUUCUGAUUCAUGAUACAAAUCAGAAUCUUGGCAAAACGGUGUGUAUAUAAUAUAGUAAAUGAAGGAUCAGGAAGCAUGGUGAGAGGUCUAAUGUAAAAGGAGCAUCUAUCUGAAUAUACUUUUAUAGAUUUUUUUUGGAAAACUAGUUGCAAGUAGGAAAGAAGGAAGCAUUACUUCAGUUGUUUCAUAGGGUGUAAAAAUGAUCCUUAAGUUUGAUUGGGAUCUGGAGACAUCAGCAGGGCAUGCAGACCACGCUAGCCUCAGAAGAAAUAGUGCGUCCAAUGCAGCUUCUUAUGUUGCUUCUGAGCCGGUUUUGAGUGAUGUCACCAAAUGUGGGAUGCUUAAUGUUGCGGGUUUUGAGUGAUGUCAACAAAUGUGCGUUUAGGGCUUUUAAAUAUUCCUCAUGGACUGUUCCUGUUGCCCAUAAAUCUUUUUCGAUAGCAGCUGCAAUAAGAGAUGAAAGAUCAGCGGAAAGAGAUAAAUUAAAGGCAAUAUAGCAUUGUACUUUCAAUUUUUACUUAUUAAGAUUUACCGAUUAUAGCUCUAACAGUCUCACUAGAUGCAUAUUCUUGGAUGGUAUUGUUGGAAAAAAGAAGCUUAAUAAACAUUGUAGCCUGAAUCGAUGUAUCCAUAUCACCCGAACCAAUCAAAUCAAGCACAACCUGAACCCCUCCUCUGUGAGAGGACCUGAACUAAAAAAAAGAGCAUCAGUAGACAAGAAAAUUACAAGAAUAACCUUGUUCUAGUUAAAAAUACAAACCUUGAAGGGUAAAAAAUAAUGGUAUAAUAAGUCCCUGAUGCCAAAUUUAUCUAAGAAACAUGUAUUCAUAACAUAAGCGCCAAAUUGAUCUAACAAAAAUGUGAAUUCAAACUGUUUGCUAGCUGAUACAUAAGUCCCUAAUGUCCACAUAAUUGGUAUAAUAUGUGGGAAGUUCUUUUCUUCGAAAAGAAGCCAAGAAAGAAAUAUACAAUCCAAAAUGCUGGAAUCGUUCUUAGAAGAGUUUGGGAAAUUAUGAACUUACAUAUUGGUUCAAAAAAGGCAAAAAAAAACCUCAUUCUUAUACGAUAUAGCUGCCCUUGUACCUAAAAUAACAUCAAAAUAAAAAGUAUGAAAUAAGGUAAAAUGCAUAUCACAAUCAAUCUAAAGUCUAAACGCACAUGUAGUUAGAAAGAAGGUAAAAUGCAUAUCUAAACCUCAUUCUGAUACGAUAUAGCUGCCCUUGUACCGACUCAGAUCUUCUCUUCGCUCAGAAGAGCCAAUCACAGAUUAACACACCAGGUGAAGAAAUCCAGUUUGUUCACUUUUCUUCUUCUUCUAUCUUCUAUUUUUCCUCUUCCGAUCACUCUGACAAAUUCACAGUUGUUUAGCUACAAACAAGAAUCGCGUCGACGCUUGUUCAGAAAACAUUACGAAACAAACAAACAAACAAACCCUAGAGAAAUGGAAAUUAAAAGGGGGGAAAUCGAAUAACAUGAGUAAAGACUUUGUUGAGACAAACGUGAAACAAGAAAUGUGGGGAGCAGAAAACCCUAAAAAAAAGGGGGUGAAUGAAUUAACUGGAGAUCGAUUAACAUCUAGAAAGAGAACAUUAGCUAAUAAAACCACCGAAGCCUUGUUAUAUGAGGAACUUGGAAUGAUUGAAACAGAAGAGGGUAGUGAUGCAUAAAAGAAAAUCCCCAAAUUUAAUAGUAAAUAUGCAUCCAAUCGGACGAACUGAUACAUCAUCGGAAUCACCAGAAGCGUUAUCCAAAAACUCAUACCCAACAUUUUAGUUAACUAUCGAUCUAAAUCAAAAUGGAAGAGAAUGUUGCUUAAUUUUUGAUUGAUAACUUUAAAGAAGAAGAAGAAGAGGACGAAGGCCCUAGGGCUUUUUCUUGCUAAUUGGGAGAGGCGGGGGGGGGGGGGGGGGGGUGGGUGGUNGAUUCAAUAGGCGGGUGAAAUCCCUCCUUAAAAACGCGUGUUUCAUUAAAAUUUUAUAAAGCGACACAUUUAGACGACACACAUUUUAUGAAAGGCGCCCUCCGCAUUUCAUUUUUUUCCGUUCUGACACUAAUUUUAGGGGCACGCACAAAUGCGUGUCCUCUAUCCUUCAAAUUUUGCAAAACUGACAUUAUUUUUUAGGGCACGCAUGAAUGUGCGUCCUCUAUCAGCGAGUGUCAUUGUUUGCGCGUCAUUAAAGGGCCUUUUUCUAGUAGUGAGUAUAAUAUGUUAAAGUUAAAAAACAUAAAUUUAUAAAUAGAAGUAAAGAUAUUUUUUUAAUAUUUUCAAUAUUUGUAGCUUUAAACUGAUAAUAGUUUACAUACAACAACAUAUUAAAUCUAAUUAAUUAAGUAUAAUAUGUUAAAAGUUAAUGUCAUAACUUUAUAAGUAGAACUAAAGAUAUUAUUUUAAUAUUGAAAUUUAGUUUAUUUAUGGUUACACUUUAGGUUUGAUAUUUAUUUAACCUUAUUAACCAAAUUAUAAUCAUUAUUAGAAAGACACUACGAUUUAUCACUUUUAACUAUUUACAAAAUAUUCUUUGGGUUGUUUAAGUUAAACUAAUAUUUAUANAAUGAUAAUAGUUUAAAUCCAACAAUAUAAUAAAAUUAAUAAAUUAAGUAUAAUAUGUUAAAAGUUAAAAAAUACAUAAAUUUAUAAGUAGAAGUAAAGAUAUUUUUUAAUAUUGAAAUUUUGUUUAUAUAUGAUUACACUUUAAGUUUGAUGUUUAUUUAACCUUAUUAAUCAACAUAUAAUCAUUAUCAGAAGAAAUUGAAAAGUCAUGGGAGUUUCAAAUGAAUGUGGGGAAAGAAAAAAUAAAUGGGAGUUUCAAAUGAGUGUGGUGAAAGGAAAAAUGUUUCAUUAUAAGUAUAUUAGGCGAAUGUUCGUGCGUUGCGCAUAAACACCUAUAUAGUUUAAGUCUUUACAAAUAUAUGUUUUUUUUAAUAUAACAAUAACGUUGUUGUUAAAUUUGAUAUAAUAAUUCGUAUACUAAAUUGAUAUAAUAUAUGGUUUAAUGUUAUUUAUAGUUGUUGUUCUUGUUAAUUAAUUUGUUUUAAUUUAUUUUUUUAAUGUUUUAUUUCUAUCAUUAUAAUUAUUUAAAACAUCAAACAUUAUUUUUUGAUUUUAAAGGUAAAAAUAUAAUCAUUUAUACAGAGUUAUUUUUAAUUAUUGUUAUUGUAAGUUAUUUUAAGCUACUUAUUUGAAAACUUGUAACGAUUAUAAAAAUAUCGUUAGAAAAUAUUUUAGUUAAAUUGAUAUUACAAUUUACUUUUUGCAUUUAUCACUACAAUUUAUCACUUAUUUACAAAAUAUUUUUUGGUUUUUUAAGUGGAACUAAAAUUUAUAUUUAAAUUGACAUUGUAAUGCACAAAAACACAUAUAUAGUUGAAGUCUUUACAAAUAUAUGUUUUUUUUUUAAAUAUAACAAUAAUGUUGUUGUUAAAUUUGAUAUAAUAUUUCAUAUACUAAAUUGAUAUAAUAUAUUGAUUAUUUUGAAUUAUAUGUUAAUAUAUACAUCUUUUAUAACUUGAUAAUCUCAAUAGUUUGAAUGACUUAUAUCCGCGAAUUACUCAUGAAUAAAAUUAAAUAUAAUAUAUGAUUUAAGGUUAUUUAUAGUUGUUGUUAUGGUUAGUUAAUUUUUUAAAAUUUAUUUGCUUAAUGUUUUAAUUUCUAUCAUUAUAAAUAUUUAGAAAAAUCAAACAUUAUUUUUUAUUUUAAAAGUAACAAUAUAAUCAUUUAUAUAGAGUUACUUUUAACUAUUGUUAUUGUAAGUUAUUUUAUGUUACUUAUUUGAAAACUUUUAAUAAUUAUAAAAAUAUCUUUAAAAAAUAUUUUAGUUAAAUUGAUAUUAGAAUUAUUUUUUGCAUUUAUCACUACCAUUUAUCACAUUUAACUAUUUAUAAAAUAUUCUUUGGUUUUUUAAGUGAAACUGAAAUGUAUAUUUAAGUUGACAUUGUAAUGUUAUAUUUAAACUAACAAUUUAAGUAUUUUGUCCAAACUAUUCAAAAGUUGUAGCUUUAAACUGAUAAUGGUUUACAUAUAACAACAUAUUAAAUCUGAUAAAUUAAGUAUAAUAUGUUAAAAGUUAAAGACAUAACUUUAUAAGUAGAAGUAAGAUAUUAUUUUAAUAUUGAAAUUUAGUUUAUAUAUGAUUACACUUCAGGUUUGAUAUUUAUUUAACUUAAUUAACCAAAUUAUAAUUAUUCUUAGAAAGAAAUUAAAAAGUCAUCGAAGUUUCAAAUAAAUGUGGUGAAAGGAAAAAUACAUGAGAGUUUCAAAUGAAUGUGGUGUAACGAAAAAUGCUUCAUUUAUAAGUAUAUAAUGAUAAUGAUGAUAAUCAUAAUCAUAAUCAUAAUGAUUAAGAUGAAAAAAAACAAUUGAAGGUUAAUUGAAACCAAAAUAAUUUGUUUUAGUUUUUUUAUAUAAAAUAUAAAAUAAUUUUAAAUUUAUAAUUCUUAAUAGCUUAAUAAAAUCAUUGUAAUAAUCUUUAUAUUUAUAUAAAAAAAUGUUAACUCAUANNNNNNNNNNNNNNNNNNNNNNNNNNNNNNNNNNNNNNNNNNNNNNNNNNNNNNNNNNNNNNNNNNNNNNNNNNNNNNNNNNNNNNNNNNNNNNNNNNNNNNNNNNNNNNNNNNNNNNNNNNNNNNNNNNNNNNNNNNNNNNNNNNNNNNNNNNNNNNNNNNNNNNNNNNNNNNNNNNNNNNNNNNNNNNNNNNNNNNNNNNNNNNNNNNNNNNNNNNNNNNNNNNNNNNNNNNNNNNNNNNNNNNNNNNNNNNNNNNNNNNNNNNNNNNNNNNNNNNNNNNNNNNNNNNNNNNNNNNNNNNNNNNNNNNNNNNNNNNNNNNNNNNNNNNNNNNNNNNNNNNNNNNNNNNNNNNNNNNNNNNNNNNNNNNNNNNNNNNNNNNNNNNNNNNNNNNNNNNNNNNNNNNNNNNNNNNNNNNNNNNNNNNNNNNNNNNNNNNNNNNNNNNNNNNNNNNNNNNNNNNNNNNNNNNNNNNNNNNNNNNNNNNNNNNNNNNNNNNNNNNNNNNNNNNNNNNNNNNNNNNNNNNNNNNNNNNNNNNNNNNNNNNNNNNNNNNNNNNNNNNNNNNNNNNNNNNNNNNNNNNNNNNNNNNNNNNNNNNNNNNNNNNNNNNNNNNNNNNNNNNNNNNNNNNNNNNNNNNNNNNNNNNNNNNNNNNNNNNNNNNNNNNNNNNNNNNNNNNNNNNNNNNNNNNNNNNNNNNNNNNNNNNNNNNNNNNNNNNNNNNNNNNNNNNNNNNNNNNNNNNNNNNNNNNNNNNNNNNNNNNNNNNNNNNNNNNNNNNNNNNNNNNNNNNNNNNNNNNNNNNNNNNNNNNNNNNNNNNNNNNNNNNNNNNNNNNNNNNNNNNNNNNNNNNNNNNNNNNNNNNNNNNNNNNNNNNNNNNNNNNNNNNNNNNNNNNNNNNNNNNNNNNNNNNNNNNNNNNNNNNNNNNNNNNNNNNNNNNNNNNNNNNNNNNNNNNNNNNNNNNNNNNNNNNNNNNNNNNNNNNNNNNNNNNNNNNNNNNNNNNNNNNNNNNNNNNNNNNNNNNNNNNNNNNNNNNNUAUAUAUAUAUUAUUCGGUUUAACCAGACAAUUAAAAUUUAACCAAAACCAAAUAGACUAAGAUAUCGUUACUCGUUAACCAAACCGAAUUAACCGAAAAUCAAAUAACCCGAACCAAAAAAACCAAACAUCAUUGGUUAUUUAUCGCACAGCUGCUGAUAAUAGCAUCGUUAAUAGCAAGGAGUGUUUUGUUUUCAUCUUAUAUUUAGUUUUUACUUUUACGUCAACUAGGUUCCUUAGUUUUGCAAAUCUUAAUGAGAAGUCAGUGCAUUAAAAACGCAUGGCUCCCUUGUAUGUGCAAAGUCUUUGAAUCAAGUUUCUUUAACAUAUACGUUUUUUAUAAAAUAAAAAUAAAUAAGAAGUCGAUUCACCCGAUUGCUAUCAUUGAUUCAAAUUUGAAUGAUCAGGAAAAUAUCUGAUACAUUGAAUCGUUAUUCAUCCAAUUAAUUGAGAGACGGGGGGUACGUGUUUGGAAACAGUUAAGAAGAAAAAGAAAAGUAGGUGAGUCGGGUGGGUGUCUAAUGUUUUGAAAAUCGGAUAUGAUAUUGAAUCGGUCGUAUUACUAAUUUACUAGUUUGAACUGUCAAACGUCGGACCAGUUGUGUUGGUCCUAAAAUCCAGAUUUAUACAUUUAGCGGAUGUAUGGAAUUAAAUCCACAGUGGGGCAAUAAUUAGCACUGGCCAUGAGUUUGUGUGGGGUGUGCCCUUGUAUAGGACCCCAUAACUUUUGGAGCCCUAUUCAUGCUCAUUUGCCUGGUAAUUCUUUAUAGGUAGUAGAGGUUAUUUUUUAUCCACUUCGCCUUAUGUUCAGUCAUAUCUUGUAUUGUAAUGCAACUCAUGUUAUGUAAAUGACAAAUUUUGUUUUUGAUUAUCUUUUAUAUUAACUAAUUUAAAAAAAAUAUAUAUCAUAGCAAAUAUAUUAAUCCGCACAAUGUAAAUGAAUUUUUUUUGGCUAAAAUGUGACAAAGCUGACUUGACAUCCAUAUGGAUUGUGGCAAGCUUGACACCAUUCUCACCAACUUAAGUUUUUAAAUGAGAGUAAAGGCUUCAUGUUUUUGUCUAACACGACAUUAUAUAUAACACGAACACGAUUCGAUGUCAUGUUUUUUAAGCUAACACGAACACAAACUAAUUAAAAAACAACAAACACGACACGACACGAAAAAAUAACACCAAAUAACAUUUUUUUAUUUAAUUAAUAUUUAAUAAUACAUAUCAUGACAAAUACGGAAAACACGACAAACAAACGUUAAAUUGUGUCAAUCUCGUGUUGAAUAUUGAACAUGAACACAACAGAACACGGCAAAUUUUUUGUAUAGUUGACACGAGCACAAAUUUGGAUUUUUAUUUUCGUCCCAAUUUUGUUUCGUAUCGCGUCAUUAAUGCCACCCUAAAUGGGGGUGUUCAAUGCUUAAUAUUAUCUUUUAAUCUACCCUAAUAAAUAAUUAUUAUUUUUCCUAAAUGUGAACUUUUCAUUGAAUUUGACAUAUUAUUUUUAAAAAUAUUAGAAUUAUUUUUUUUUUGCUUGUCAUUUUGGUAUUUUACUUUAUUCAAAUUCCAUCUAUUAAAUGCCACCUCAUAUUAAUUGAUUUUAUUAAUAUAUUAAUUGAUAUGUAUUAAUGUAAUUAAUAACAUUCUAUUUGUGAAUUCAUAUUUCUAUUAAUAUAUUAAUCAAUGUAUAUUAAUGUAGACAGUUUCAUAUUAAUUCCUUUUAUUAGAAUAGAUUAAUUAACACAAAAUUAUAUAAAUAGUCAUUUUGGUUUAUCAAAUGUCACAAACUCAAUCAUUUUUAUUAACACCGUUACUUUUGAUCUUUUUAGAUAGGAAGAACAAAAUUGUUUAGAAGAGAAUUAUCAAAUGUCUCCUAAAUCAAUUGUAAGAGAUGAAAAAUAUUGUUUGGCAAUGAUUAGGAAUAUGAAUUAUUGGGUUUUACUGAUCAAUUAUGCAAAAUAUGAAUCUGAAAAAAAAUCAAGUCAUGAAUAAUCAUAUCAUGAAUAAGGACAUCAAUUAUGGGAGAGAUUGCAAAUGAGUAUUUUAGUAAUUUAGUUAUAAUAUAGCUUAAAUAUAAUGUUUUUUAAUUUUAAAUAUGUUAGUUAUCACUUAAAUAAGUAUUUGAGUAUAUAUGUGAGUUUAUAAGUUUUAUAAGGAUAUAAAUGUAACUUGAAGUUUACUAAGAUAUAGACGUAAUUAUGCAACUUUAUAAAGAUAUAACUGAAGUUCUCCUUAAAAAAUGUAUUUUAUUUAGUUUUUCUACCUUCUGACGUAAUUUUUUUUUGCGUUUCGUGCUUAAUUUAAUGUACAUUUCAUACGUAUGAGUCGAGUCACAUAUAAUAAUUUUCAUUCGUUAACUUUAAAAAAAAAAAAAAAAAAAACUAAAUUGCCUAUGGUCCUUACCUUGUGAAAUAUAUCAAUUGAACAUAUUUCCAAUGAUACUCAUUUCACAAUUCCCUAAUCCUUAUUAUAAGUGUAAGAAUACAAAAUUCUUACCACUACUAGAAUCUUGUUAGAUCUAAACUCACAUGCAAUGAUCCUUUUGUAAUUUCAAGGCACCAAAGUCACAGAGACUUUAUCAAUGAUAUUACAAAACAUUCCACUGGAGACUUGUUACAGAACAAUUACAUGGAGAUGAAGUCUCACAUUCAGGGUACAUUCCUCUGAACAUCCUUGUUGCAUAAAAGAUUCUAACCUACACAUAGAUUCUUAAUAUCCAACUCCCAUUAUGGAAACAUUUCCAUAAUUACCAUAUGACUAUCCAUUCUAAAUAGAAUCCUAUCUAUUUUGAAUUGUAUCAAUAUGGUCCAUUCAUUAACAUACUUCCAACAGUCCCAAUCAACCAAUCUUUGGUAAACCUUAUAUUGUCCUUGACAGUUGUUUAAUAUCUUCAGUCAUAUCCGGUUCUAGUCCCUUUUCCCUCUUAAUGUGUUGGGCAUUUGGAAAAAUCAGAACAUGCGAAUAUUAUAGCAUAUGCAAUCGAUCCUAUACCCGAAACAUACAGGAUAAGAUUCAUAAUGUCUUACACAAAGACAUGAUACUAGAUCAGUCUUUUGCUAAAAUAUUUCCACAUACAGAAUUUCCUUAUGUUAAAUCAUUUCAACAUAACAUUCAUGUAUGAACAUGACUAGAUUCUAUUAAAAUUUCAAUAUAAGCUUUUAGAUUUGAAAUGAAAUAUUAGUUCCUCUCCCUUAGACUUUCUAUAGCAAAACAACUUUUCAUCCUCUACAACUUUGCAAAUUUAAAACUUUGUUUCCUAUAAAUAGCAUCACUAACUUGCAACACUUAACGUAAUAAUUGUGCUCCCACUAGCAUAAUAAUUACAUUUUUACUAACAUAACAAUUAUGCUUCCACUAGAUUUGACAUGUACCCAGAAAUCAGCUGGACUUCUAGAAAUCAAUACUUAUUGACUUUCUUUCCAAAGUUCAGAUUUCUGAUACGAGAUGUUUCGAUAAGUCUUUAUCUAGGCUUUUCAAACUCAUACACCUUUCCUUAGAUAUCUCAUAUGUAUGUCUAAACUAUUUCAGAACUUACAACAAUAAGUCUCGAAUGUUCAGACUAUUUUCCGUUUCUCACAAGUUAAACUAUGAAGAGGGAUGCCGUAAUCAUAAUCGAAUUUGAGAAUACAAUUAACACAAUUGCUAUCUCUUUAAAUCUACUUAGUGAAUGCGUUUCCUCAUAAUCCUUUUAUGAAGCGAAGAGAAACCUUUUCCACUUAGAUUUUAUGGUGUAUGUAUUCUUAUCCAUGUGAAUUUGUCAUAACCAUAAUCAUAAGACAAGGUUUGUGACAAUUCAAACUCAUAUGGACUGAACUUUUUCAAUCUUAAUUUCUUUCCAUCUGGUAGCUUAAGGGUCCUACCGUUGCUUCCAAAUUAUUGCACAGCUCACCCUUACAGAUUAAUGUAUUCUCCAUUGACCAAGGUGCUUUUCCUUAUGCAUUCAAAUGAGAACUCACAGAACUCACAUGCAUAGUUAACAUAAUUAGAAUGGGCACAGAAACAAGAAUAUGUCAACACGAUAGGUUACAAACCUCAAGUCGUGUGCUAGUGAUAAACAAUAGGUUUAUUCUUGAUUAGUUCUUGAAGCUAUUCAAGAUCAUUAAGACUCACACUGACCUGUUGACAUAUAAGAUUCUCUUGUCAAGAAACAUUACUUAACGAACAAAUAUUCAAGAGUUAGUGCGGGUUCUUAUCAAGAAAAAUACUUCAUACAAUUGGUCUUAGUUGGUCUUUGUUUUAGCCAAAACAUCACAACUACCAAUUCCAAAUGUGCAAGAGGAAGAAACAUUUCUACUCCACAUUUCAUGAGGUGUUAUAAACCUACUUAGAACAUGUUACUCAAGAUAUAACUUGGAGUAACUGGUGUAUAACUCUAAAAACCGAUUUUGGAACAAAGUAUGACUUAUCCUUUUGAUUUUAACCAUUUCAAAAAUUCCCGAUUCAUCUCCUUAGUCAUAUAAAUGCACUAAGGUGUCCUUAGAGGAUCAAUUGUGACAUGGUUCCAUAAUCAUAAGGAUGAUCUUAAAGCAUGAUACUAAAGUACUCUCCUUUCCUUUUAAAUUAGAGAAACUUUCAUCUUUCUACCUAAUUGAUUCCUCUUAUUCGUUGUGCUUAUACUUUGAAACUUUUCAAGGUAUUAGAAUUAUACUUAAACUUGUAAGCAUAACCAUAUUUAGUUAUUUACUAAACCAUUAGUAAAUCAUGGCGAAUAGUCUUUAUCACUCUUGUGGUGGAUCUGACCAAUACACAUCAAUGUGUACUUGAUCCUUAAGUCUUUCACUUGACUCACAUACAUAUGUGAAUAAGGGACUGGUCUUAAUUUCCCAACGAUGAAGAUUCUCAUUCAUCACACAAUACAAGUCGCAUGAUUCCAAGUUUCUAUCCAAUUGAAACUUGGGUGAUGAGGAUCCUUCCUUAUUUGGUAAACUAUGACACUUUACCAUAAAUGAUAUAACUAAGAAUCAAAUCCAUAUUCAAUAUUGCUAUUUAUAGAAAUAUAAACACCAACUUUCACAAAUUCCAUUGCAAGGAAAUCAUAAAAUAAGAAAAAAUCAAAAUUUUCUUUAUUUAUAAAAUGAGGAAAAACUUGUCCUUACAACGCAAUUCCAAAUGAAAACUAUGUUACUAAGUAUCCGUAAGCAAUCUAUCAUAACUCCUAAACAGCGGCUGAAAAAUUUGAUCAUCGAACCAUGCGAUCGAAAUCCAUCUCUUCGCAACCAGACUCAGCUCACUCUUCCUUUAAACUUCAUUUAUUUCCUUUGAUCCUACAAAACAUCAAAAUGUAAUCUUAUCACAUCAUGUAUUAAGAAUCUAUAAACAUGAACUUAAUAGAGUUAGAUAGUGGACUUACCUGAAGUAGAGUCAUACAUUUUGACUUUACCAUCCCUCUGAUCUUUCAGGUAAAUAUGGCAGCUUCGCAUCCAAUGCCCCUUCUCUUAGCAAUAGAAACAAAUAGAAUGUUUCGGAAUGGUACACUGGACAAUCUCAGACUUAGCCUUUCUCUUUACCAUUUGGUCAAACGGUUUGACCUUGGCAGAUCCCUUUCCAUUGGGAAGUGAAAACUUUUAUUGACUUCCAAUGUUACCAUUGUCAAUAUCCAUGGAAGUUUGGGAGAUUGAUCUUCCAAUCAAAUUUGCUUGACCAGUGUGCCAAAUCAUUGCUGAUUCUGCACCGAUUAGCAAAUAUGUAAGAUCGAUAAGGGUCACGUCGUGGUCUGUCAUAUAGUAAUCUUUAAUGAACUCACUAUAUAACCUAGGAAGUGAUUGAAGAACCAAGUCAAUAGUCAGCUUCCUCGAGACAUCAACACCCCGCAUUCCCAGCCUGUCAAUAUGCAACUUCAUCUCCAAGACGUGAGCACAUACAGACUUUCCAUCUUCGUGUUUGUUUGCCAACAGGGCUUGAGUGACCUUGAACUUUUCAAGUCGAUGAAAAUGUGGGUCGAGGAGAAUCACGAGAGGAGGUGGAGGAAGAGAAUUAUGAUUUCCACUUCCACCAAUGCACAACAAAGAGAUUGAUCUUUCACCUCGAUCGCCAUGUGAAAUAUCAUAUUCAUUAGGAAAGCUUUUUCCAAAAGGAUAAAGAAGACCACAGUUGUCAGAACUAGACAUCUACAACGGAAGAAAUUCAAGUAGGUUGAUUUAAUCCUCAAUAUAACACCCAAAUGAAAUAUUAAGGCUAAGAUCCAACAAAAUAAUUCACAAUUCAGAAGAGGGAUGUUGUAAUCCAAUUGCAAAUUAUUUGUCGGUAGGUAAAUGACAAUUUACCAAUUCCACCACGGAAACGAAAUUUAAACGAAUUAAGUUUUAGAUGAAAUUCCUAGAUCUUUUGAGACUCAUUGAACUUUUCAAUGGCAUGUUUAAUCUCGAUUAUGCCUUCAAGUUUGUGACUAGGAUACCGAGGAUCACAAACAAGGUGUGAAUAACCAUGAAAAUUAGCUUGGUACUCUCGAAGUCAUUUAUCACCUAAUCAAUGUGUCGGUUAACCACACACGCUCCAUUGAUCUAUGAUAAUCUACGAGCUACCCAUUGCCAUCCUUUAUUAGUCCCAUAUUAGUAUGUCGGUUAACCACACACGCUCCACUAACGACCAAUAAUGUGCAAUGUGCAAUUUCACGGGUUAGCAUCAAAUUCACAUUUUUCCUAAAGUAACUAAGAUUGGGAAUUUAGAAAAACAUUUAGUUACCUUUUAUAAUUAUCAUUAUAAUUUUUAAUGAGAACUAGUGAGAGAACCCGUGGUAAACCACGGGUCACUUUUUUGUGAUAUUUUUUUGUAUUUGGAGUGAGCUUGGUCGUUACAUCUUUUAUGCUGUGAAAUGAUCCAUUAUGAACCAUUUUUGGUGUCACAAUGCUCCAAAAAUUAUUUCAAAAUGAUAAAUGCAGGUUGGCUAUUUAUUUUGCUGUCAGGUUAUUGUUUGAUGUUAUAAUGAUCCUUUUCUACAUUAAAAAUUUAAUUGUUUUUGCUUAUAAAUAUAUAAUAAAACUGAAACUAUGGAAAAUAUGAAGAUGUAUAGAGAGAUUGACAGAUUAGAACCUCAAAAGGAUGUGGGUGCUUAUAAUGUGGUUUUUUAGAACCCGAAGUCCAACAGGCGGACACAGCUUCAUGUUUUAAAAAGCAAAUGAGAUAAGAAGAAAUUAGUUAAUUAAUAAGAAAAAAAGAUACAUGCUAUUGUUUAAAGAUAUAACAGGAAACAUAUUGCUAUUUUUUGUGCAUAAAACAUUUUAAACAACGAAUAAAAAAAUAAACACAAAUGUGCUCUUGUUGAACCUCUUAGUCCUUUUGAAGUGAAAUUAAAUAUUAUUUGAUAUCAAACAAAUUCAUAAAUACAACAAAAGAUUACAACAGGUUUUUUGUAUAUGUUCAUCCCGAGUUUUACUGAAUAAUUACAAAUUAGUGUUUAUAAAGAUAAUGUGUUGAAUUAAAGUAAGUCUAUGUAUGUUUUGAAAAUAUCAUAUAGUUUUACUGCUUUUUGUCAUGUGUUUCUUCGUCCACUUCGCUGUGGUUUUUGUAUUUCAUUCAUUUGGGACAUGAUGUUUUCUGUGUAGUAUCUGUGAAAUGGAUAGAUGUUGGUUAAGUGUUGGCUAUAAAUAAAAAGCUAUAUUUUAGUCAUACCUGGAUGUUCUAAUUGGAGGCAUUUUCCUGUUUCACAUGAUUUAGUAGGGGUGAAGGACUCCAUAUUUGUAGUGGUUUGUUGGUCCAUUGUUGUCGAAGGUGUAGUUGGUGGUCUUCUAGUUGAAUUGAUAGUUGGUUGUGGACUUUUUAUAUCAUUGGUUGUGGUGACUAUGAAACGGAUAUUUUUAGUUGAUGGAAGUUUUGUGCAUUGUACAAAAACAUUCUUUGUCAACCCUUUAAAACGUUGCAGUGGUUCCGGUAAAGUCAGUGGUCAAAAUUACACACACUGGAACAAUUCCCACAAUCAUAAUAAACAUGCAAACUUGGUGUCUCUUCUAAAAGUGAACUCUUGCAUGAACGACGGGGGACUAUCGUAUUGGAAGUAGAAGCCAUUUGUCGUCGUUUUGGAGGCAUCACAAGAAGGCAUUUACUGAAAUGGAAAUCCAAAUUUCAUUGACUUGUAACAUACUUUUUAUGUAAUUCAUAUGGAACAUUAGAUUCUAAAAAGGUGUAGUUGAAAGUAACUAUUAUGAUUAGUAACUAACUUAUGGAGUAUAUAUUAAAUAACAUUUGGAAGAGAUUAAUAACAUACUCUAUUAUUGUUUUAACCCAUGGAUUCAUUGAACAUCAAAGAUAAGAAAUAUAUUUGCAACAACAAAAUUAGUCAUUAAUCAACUGAUAAUGGUAUAUAUUCAACUAAAGCUUGUAAAUAGGAUAAAAUUGAAAAAAUGACCAUUCUAUUAAAAUUUAUGCCUAAAGGACCAUUAUUGUAAUUGAGUAUUGAUUUAGGACCAAAUUAGUAAACUUAUGUACACAAAACAUAUUCAGUGAAAGGGUUAAAGACAACUUACCAAAUUUCUAAAGAUCCAAGGUAGAAUUGAAUAUUAGAUUCCUUAUCACAAAAUGUUUAUAAUUUUUAUAUUAACAUAAAUUCAUGAGAAACCAAAGGGUGUUAAAAUGUCUAACUUGCAGAGGCAAUGAAGAAAGAGAGAAAAAUUGAAAUUGAAUAUGGACAGAAAUCAAUAUCAAAUACAAAGGAUAGACAACAUACCUAGAAAUUCAAAUUGUAAUUGAGUGUAGUCGGUUGAAGGCGGAUACAAAGCAGAACCGUUUGUUGGCGACAAAAACGUCAAACCUAGAAUGAAAACUUAAACGUAUUGAGUUGGAAAUGAAGAAAUUUAUAUGAAAAUGGAACAGAAAAUCAAUAUGAUAUAAUUGCGAUAUAGUAUAGACGAGGUAGGCGUCUAGGAGUAUGACUAAAGAAGUAUUUCAAAAAUCAGUAAUAUUUAAAGAGAAAAUUUUAAAUUGACAUACCUUAUUAAUUGGAAUUGUUGGAUUCCUAGUUGUAAGUGCUCGAAGAUAAAGACGGUGGAAACGUCAAACACAGAUUUUGUAAUCAAAGAAAGAACGAAUUAAUAUGAUGGUGUUGGGAAUUUGCACAUAUUCACAAAGAUUAGAGAAAGUUGUUAUGUAUUGAAAGCAAGAAAGAGUUCACAAUUGACAUACCUUAUGAGUCGUAAUUGUUUGAGUCCAAAUUCUAAGUGCUUGGAGAAAAAGAUGGUGGUUGAGAGGCUCUGAAACGAAGUAGGACUAAUUAAUUUUAAACUAAAACAUGAAUAAAGUUCAAAUUUAGCACUAACUUUAUGAUGAACUCAACUAAAAACAUAGAAAGAAAAAUGAUACAUUUUACAAAUUAUAAAAAUAUAAACAAAAACAAUAGAAGGAACAAACACAAAAAGACGACACAAAAAAAGAUGUAAACAAAAAAUCAAAAUCAAAUAAAAACAUUAUAUGACCUACCGAAAUUCAAAAAUACAACAAAGAGCACAUGCUGUUUGUGGUGGUAAUUGAGCACCGACGGUCAAACCCACAAAGUCGAAGACAUCGCUCAAAAACACGGAAGGAUUAGAAGGAAUAGCAAUUGAAUUGAAAAUCACAAUAUAAUUGAUACAUUAUACGACAUACCAUAAUUCGUCAUAGAAACAAAUAGAAAUUCGUAGCCUUCAACAUACCAGAAUUUGUCACAGCAAUAGAUAGAUAUUCCUAGUCUCCUUAUAUCAUUAAUGAAAAUCCUGAAAUAAGAUUUCAGAAUUCCAGUUACCAAAUAUUAGAGUAAACAUAAAAAGUUAAAGGGGUUAUUUUGUCAUUAUUAAAGUGUUUUUAACACAUUUGACUAAUAUACAAAGAAUAAGUACUCAAUUAGAAAAUUAUUCUUCAUGAUGCAAGAAAUAUUAUGUUUUUCUUUUAUUCAACUUUUGUCGCUAACAUACAACACAAUACAAAAAAAAAAUGGUUCACUAUGGGAUUUCCAGGGUAUUUGUUGACUCACCUUCUUUUAUAAUGUCAAAAUUAGCAUUCUUUAUGAUAAAUGACCAAUGAUUCCAUCUACUAUUGUAAAAGCUUUAGUCUUUUUGAUAAAUAACCAAUAAUAUAUGGGUGGUGAGUCCUAGAUUAUACAAAUUCUUAUUUAGGGUGCAUUCUUUUGAACGCUUUUGGAAGUUUCUUCAGAUAACCGUAUCAGGGUUUUUUUUUUCAGUUUAUGGUUGUUUUACAACUUACUUUAGUUGUCAUUUGACCUUUUUGCCCCUGUGAGGCUGUGGCUUACCUGGUUUUUGUUCCAAUCUUGAUUGCAGUAUACACCUGCUGUUGAUACACUUAGAUGCAAGCCAAGUUAACUACACCAGAGAUUAAGAUAAUGACUAUUUGUAUAGAAAUUUUACUUUGUGGUGAAAAGAGUCGUUUUGUAUUUUUUUUUUUGGAAAUUGGCCAUUAACUGUUACUGUGUGUGGGUGUUUCGGGCUAAGAUAUUGAUUUAUCUGUUUGUGUAUUUUAUCCCUUCUUUCAUAGUUCUUUUUGUUGAAAAGAGUCGUUUUUUUGUUUAUAUGCAAUCAUUUUUUUUCUUUAACAUAUAGUAAUAAAUACAAUUAGUUAAACACGUUAAGCAUGCCUUUAGUCGUAUUAUGUAUCCAAUUGUAUCGAAUCAAAUCAUCCUAAUAUUACAUUAAACGCUUUUGGUCUUAAAUGAGUCAGAGGAAACUUUUGUUUAUACUUGAAUGAGUGAAUUAUUUGAGACUAAAAUCUGAUGGAAUGGCGUUUUAACAUUGAAAAGAAUUUGCUCUUCUUUUCUUCACAUGAAUUGAUGAUCAACAGCAUUUGUAUGAGAGUGUUUUGAAAUGAGAGCAUAGAUUCUUGUCAUUACAAUUUGUAAAACCUCUCUUAAUCAUUACAUAAAUAAUUUGAAAUAGCUUCGAGUUAUUGACUCUUUGUUGGAUUCACAACUUUAGGGUUAGUUGGGGUGACAAAUUAUGUUCAUUCUUACGAUGUUCUGACCAGGAAAUGGACCAGGUAGUUCUAAUUCGUUCUUAUAUUUGACUUAACUUUUCUAGAAGUCAAUGCUAAUGCUUUUUUUUUCAGAAUUCGACAAGCUGGAGAACCACCUUCACCCAGGGUUGCUCAUGCAGCUGCUGUUGUUGGAACAAUGGUUGUAUUUCAGGUAACCAUAAUUAUGAACUAAAGUGAAAAAAGGAGAUCUUUUAGCCAUUUAUCUGAUUUUUGGUUUUUGAUAAACCGAUUGUGCAUGAUUAGGGCGGCAUUGGUUGAUAAAAUAAUAAAUAUUAAGAUUCUUUCUCCAUUUCGAGGAGGUGUCUCGCAUGUGUGGACUUCCCUUUAACUUUUACUUAAUUAAGUAAUUAAGCUAUAUAGACUAUUACUAAGUUGAUAACAUCUAGGUUUUGGAACAAUUAUAUAUAUAAAAGCCUUUAUCGUUCUAUUCCUCAUGUCCUUGAUCCAUGAUCUUUGUUUGUUUUCUAAACAACUAUUUCUAUAACUUAACUUUUACAAUACUGUUAAAUUGAACUAAUAAAUUAACAAAAUAGAAGGUUAUAUAAUAAUGCAACUUUUGACAUUGUUGUUGUUUUUAUAUGUAGGAUCCUAAACAUGGACACUGGUGGCUACAAUUUGGAUCAGGGGUGCUAAUAGGAUAUUGGCCAUCUUUUUUUAUUCAGUCAUCUACAAAAAGAAGCAAGUAUGAUACAAUUUGGAGGGGAGAUAGUGAACACAAGAUCAGGGGGUAUCACACAUCAACUCAAAUUGGAAGUGGCCAUUUUGCAGAUGAAGGUUUUGGAAAAGCUUCAUACUUUAGGAAUUUACAGGUUGUUGAUUGGGACAACAGUUUGCUUCCUUUAACAAAUCUCCAUGUAUUAACUGAUAAUCCAAAUUGUUACAAUAUAAAAGCCGGAAAAAAUAAUGUUUGGGCGAAUUGUAUUUAUGAUGGAGGUCCAGGAAGGAAAGGAGGUUGUCAAUAGAGAAAAUUGCAUAGUAGUAACAAUAUUUUUAUUUACAUUAUUAAUUCUUUCCCUCUAGAGGAUUUUUGGAAUUUUUUGUCUAAAAAAGAUCCCUUUUUAAGUUUUAUUUGUAGUAGGUUGCCAUAAUUAAGCCAUGUUAAUGAGGGCUCUUGUAUAUUAGCGUUAGGGGUAGUAACUGAUUUUAUAAUGUAUUAUGGUUUGUAUUUCGUAAUGUGGUGAUUUGAUUUUUCAUUAUAACAGCAAACAAUAACCUAACAACAAAAUAAAUAGCCUACCUUGACAACAUAUAUAGGUGGAACUUUUGCACUUUAUUCUUCAAUAUGCGGACAUGCUAAAGUAAGCCUUUUACCAAAUCAACAAACUGCUGAUGAAUCACUGUGUACAUAUAAAUUCAAGCAAUCUAAUGAUGGGAAAUAUUGUCUAGAGGGUUUCGUAACUUUAAUUUCACAGAGUAGGAAAGACAAUCAAAAUCAUAUGACGGAGAACAUACCAAGAAUUGAAAUUGCAAUUGAGUGUAGAUUAUUGGAGGCGGCAACAGAAGGCGUCGUCGGAGAUGUCAAACCCAUAUUUGAAAUCCUAAUUUAUUGAUAGAGAAGCCGUAGGAGAUCUCAAAUCCACACAGUCGGAAAACAGAAAAAGAAGAGGAGUCUGAAGAUUUUGGAGAAACGUAUAAAAACGAUGAUGGAGGAAUAUUCUCUAGACGAUUUCAUAACUUCAAUUUCACAGAGUCGGAAUAUAAGAAAAAAGCAAAUUCGAGAUUGAAACAAAAUCAAUAUCGAAUAGAACAAAACAUACCCAGACAUCAAAUUUCAAUUGAUUGUGGAUGGUUGGAGGCAGCAACAACCGUUUUUUGGCAAGAAAUUGAAACUUAGACAGAAAAUCAAAAUCGAAUAGAAGAAAACAUACCCAGACUUCAAAUUUCAACUGAUUGUAGAUGGUUGGAGGCAGCAACAACCGUUUUUUGGCAAGAGAAGUUGAAAUUCUAAGUUCUUGAUUGAUAAGGUGUAUGAGAUGUCAAACCCAUAAUUCAAAUUCGGAAUUGUUGAUUGAGAAGCGUAUUCAGAAUUCUUGAUUGAGAAGCGUAUGAGAUGUCAAGAAGAGAAGUCUGAAGAAAUGGUAGAAACUUAUGGAAGCGAUCAUGGGGGUAAAAUUUUAAAAGUGUUGAUUGUUAUGGAGAAUUUGGAGAAACCUAAUGUGGCGAAACUCUAAACUUCAAAAAUUAUAAGGCUAAAUUAUGAAAUGCACAAAAGACACUGUUAACAAACGUUAGGACUUUUAAUAUAUGUAUAUAAUAAUUGUCAUAUCCUACCCGUUCGGCUAACGACCCACCACUACUCAAGGAAGCGGUGGGUGAGAGUGGACACCCAUUCAAUCACCAUUUUAUAGGCAAUUUCCUUAUACCCCCCUUAUAGACCAGCUUCGUAAAUGAGGCUUAGUAACGGUAAGUCUGACUUUUAACUUUNUAUAUAUAUAUUAGAUUUUUAAUUUUAUAUAGUGUAAGGGUGUAGUUUAAACCUUUAAAAUACUAGGAGGUUUAAUCUCUUAAAUAAAUUAGACUUUUAAUUCAAUUAAAACUUUAAACCAUUCAAUUAUGGAUUUAUUAAUACUCUUUUAAUUAACCUUUUAAUUAAAAACUUUUAAUUCUAAAUUUAAAUUAAGAAACCAAAAGGUUGUAUUUUAAACAUUUAAAAUACAAGGCUUUUAGAACUUAAUAUUUCACGAUUAAAACUUUUAAUCAUAUAGGUUUUGAUGAGGAUUAGGACGUUUAUCUUCAAACACUAAGAACCAAGUCAACCUAGGAUGGAUGAAUGACAGAGCACCUAAGAUAUAUGUCCCUUAGGUAUCCUUUGAAUGCUAGGAAUACAUAAAAUUCUUAAAGCAGUGAGCUUAAAACAAACUCGCUACAAUUGUAAGUAACUGGAAAUUCACAUUAUUCUUUAUGUGGCCAUUUUAAUUCCAAUGAGAAUAUAAACAUUUCUUCAAAAUAAAGUACAAAUCAUAAAGCAUCAAUGAGUUUAUAAAUAUUUAAUAAGAGGUUUUGUAACAUCAAAGUAUCAAUAAUAUCAUCAUUUGCACACAAAAUUUAAGUUUCUAAUUAGGGUAUGUCCUUCUAUGAAGUUGAAACUACAAACAAAACUAAGUAAAAUCAUAAACUAUUGAAACAGAAUAUGGAACAGGGAAGGCAUUCAUCUCAUAAGCUAUUGUUUAGAAAUCAGAAACAAUUCAAUGAUAUUAUUCUGAAACUAGGGUUUAUCUGACACUUUAAUGUUAAAGUAGAAAGGGUAGAGAUGUUACUUCUCAAGAUAUAACAGAGUAGUGACAGGGUGAUCGGUGGCAACAAUGGUGAUAACAAAGAAUCAUAUCACAAAUCGGUGGCAGAAAUAACAAUGGUGUGAUUGGUGGGAUCGUGGCAAGUCAAAAAGUGGUGAAACGAGGAUGGAAAUGGCGAGGCGGCAAGUUGAUUUCUUAAGCGGAGCAACCCUAAUCAAUCGACGUUUGCUUUGAUUUCUCGUGGUGUUGAUGAUUUUGAAUGAUAGUAUGAGAGAUUUGAGAGUAUUAGUAGUACUAACUACUAAGGCUUCGAGGGUUUUGUUAAAAGAGACAAUCAUAUAAUUUGUCAUUUCAUGUAGAUCGUCAUUUUAUGCAGAGAAUGACACCUAUGACAUUUUCCCAAACGAGUCAAGAUAGUCAAACAAUUAUCGACCUUAUCUAAUUAAUAUAAAAUAUCUUUUGGAAAUGAAAUUUGAACGUCAUUUUAAUAUAUUCAACCAUUUUGUUUUAACUUUUAACGCCAUUUUAAUAUUUUGUUUGCCACUAUUUUUUUAACUAAAAUAAAAUAUUAUUUCUAAAUGAAAUUUGUGUUAAAUAGAUAAAAUAGUCAUUUGUUAUUUUCUUAAUGCAAAAACAAGCUUACAAACUAUAAAUAAUAAAUUGAAAUAUCACAAUAAAAAACUGUUAUGAAAUUCAUUUUAUUGUGUUUUUCUUUUAUUUAUCAAAAACAUGUUAUUUUGUAGCAUAAAUGUAAAUUUUCAACCCUAUAUUUAAAAUUAUCACUUUCAAAUUCACAUCUUUAAGAAGUUUAUGAUUAUUUUUUUCUUCCAAACAUCUUUCAAUAAAUGGAUAGAGUCUAAAAUCUUUUCAACUUAUANNNNNNNNNNNNNNNNNNNNNNNNNNNNNNNNNNNNNNNNNNNNNNNNNNNNNNNNNNNNNNNNNNNNNNNNNNNNNNNNNNNNNNNNNNNNNNNNNNNNNNNNNNNNNNNNNNNNNNNNNNNNNNNNNNNNNNNNNNNNNNNNNNNNNNNNNNNNNNNNNNNNNNNNNNNNNNNNNNNNNNNNNNNNNNNNNNNNNNNNNNNNNNNNNNNNNNNNNNNNNNNNNNNNNNNNNNNNNNNNNNNNNNNNNNNNNNNNNNNNNNNNNNNNNNNNNNNNNNNNNNNNNNNNNNNNNNNNNNNNNNNNNNNNNNNNNNNNNNNNNNNNNNNNNNNNNNNNNNNNNNNNNNNNNNNNNNNNNNNNNNNNNNNNNNNNNNNNNNNNNNNNNNNNNNNNNNNNNNNNNNNNNNNNNNNNNNNNNNNAUAUAUAUUCCACCUAACUUCAUCAAAUAUAUCAUAUAUUUAAAAUUACAUUAAACUGCAAAUUUAAUCCCUAUGUUGAGCCAAAAAAUAUGAAUGGAGUCUAAAAUCUUUGCAGCUUGCACCAUUAGUCCAAAAUCAGAUUUUUUUGUGGUUAUGGUCCCUGUAAAAUAUAAACUGACUAUUAUACCCUUUUAAUUUAUACUUUACAAUUUUUUUCAGUUCUUACUAUUUUUAUAAUUUAAAAAUAAAAAAGAAAUACUAAACUCCAACCUCACGCCACGGUUGCUCUUUCUCUUUCUCUUUCUCUCUCUCUCUCUCUCUCUCUCUCUCUGUGACAUCCCCAUUUUCACGAUAAUAAAAGACCGAUUUUGUUUAUGCUUUGUUUAAAAUCAGAGUAACAUUUUAAAUAAAAUUGUUGCAGAAUUUGUCCCAAAACAAAAUAUGAUAAAGAUUUAUCAAAAGCAUUUCCAUAGAAAUGUGUUUCAUUAAAAAGACUCGGGAUGUCAUGUUCGAUACAGAUCAUAAGCAUAAACAAUACAACAUAGGCCUUACUACAUUAUUCCGUAUUUACAUGCCUAAAAUCCCUUAAUCUCUCAUCCCAAGACAUCACAUCUAUGCUCAUGCACCACUACCUGUAAUACAAGAAAUUGAGUGGGUCAGACUUGGGAGUCUGGUGAGCACAUAAGGUUUUCAACCAACAAUAAAUAAGUUUAUUAACUUUAUCAAACCAAACAAACCCGAUUGCCUGUUCCCGUUAUCCUCACUUUACGUCCCUAAAACAUCUAACACAAGGGACCUAGUCUAAGGAGUAUCAUCGGGAUGGACACUACUGCUGACGGGAUUCGUUAGCAAUAAAUAUCCUUAAGGCAACCAUGUGGGGGAUGGAGUACACCUGGUGAGCACACAGGUCAAAUAAACACCUACAGGUUGCGAGCCUGCUAGCGUUCUACUAGACUGUCUAGAAUAGUCUGUGGUCGUCAUCUAUACUCCGCUAGAUGAUUGGAUCAUUAAUAACAUCUAUAACGAGGUCUCUCAUCAUUUUAUUUUGUCACACAACGACUAUUACAUCUACCCAUGUGUUUACCCAACACAUUUUGUAGAUAUAAAAUACAUAUAUACAGUUUAAAUCAUUUAAAACGUGUAUAAAAUUGUUCAUCAAGCAUAAAUAGCAAGUAUACAGAUAAUAUGCAUACACAUCACGUAAUUUAUAUAAAAUACUUCAUAUCUAUGUAUAACCUGAAAGUAACUAUGCACUCACUUGAAAGAUGGUGACUCAGCACUCGGACAGUUCGAUACUCUCAAAACAACUUUCCUUCGAUAAAACCUAGUAUCAAUACCACUAGGGUUUAGUCUAACGAUAACCGCGACUAAUUAAUAGUCUGACUAUUAUUACUAUUAUAUAAUCGUUAAACGAUACUUAUAUAACUCAUAAUAAUAGCCCAAAUAAUUAUUUUACGGACCUAUAACAUUACUAUAAUUAUUUGAAAGUUAUAUUAAAAAUUGCGUAAGCGUAGCUCACUUACAACGGAUUUUAAAGAAAACCGGGCUUUGCUCAGAGCAGCGUUUCGAAACCAAAAGACCCUUUUUCUCGGGACUCCGGGAGCCUCGGGGCUUCCUUUGGGUGUUAGGGAGGUUUACCUAGGGUUUAGGGGGUUUGAAACUCUAGAGAGAGAAAGAUCUUAGAGAGAGAAAGAGUGAAGAAAGGUGUGAAAAAUCCGGAAGAGUUCGCACCCUUUUAUAUCCUGCGAGGCCUCGGACUACGCUGGGCGUAAUCCUUGGCUACGCGGGGCAUAACUUCGGAUAGGGUGCCACCUCGGAUCCAGCUGUCUCGCACUCGUUAGAAGGAUAAGGCCGAAGGUACGCGGGGCGUACCGGAUCUCGUACGCGGGGCGUAAUGUGAGGCUACGUGGCAUGAUCUGAAGCGAAGCCUUGGUCAGCAAGCAACGGCUCAGAUGCGGCCACAUCAUCAACUUCUCGCAGAUUUCGCAAUUUUACACUCCGACUUCUAAAAAUCAUAUCUUUCGCAUACGAGCUCCGUUUUCGACGUUAUUUAUAUCCACGCGAAGGUGGGAACUUACUCUACAACUUUUGUUUAGACUCCGUCGGCUAAUUUUGACUUUAUUUUAAAAGUUAUAUUAUUAACAGACCGGGACACGAUUGGUCCGUUAAAAAUUCAUAACUUCUUCAUUCGAAGUCCGUUUUCGUCUAUCUUUUUAUUGUUACGUUAAUAUUAACGAGAUCUUCGAUUCUCGUUUAGUUUGAAUCGGCAAUAAACCGUUCGAUCUAAUAUUCGAAUUUCGGGUUGUACACUGCUAAGCCGAAACUUCGAAAAAUCAUAAUUUUUUCAUACGAAGUCAGAUUUGGGCGUUCUUUUUAUGGACGCUCUUAGUUUAACAUAUUCUACGACUUUCAUUUAGAUUUCUAAGGCUAAAUCUUGAUCUAUCAUAAAUUCACUAUUUACGCUUCCCGGUAUCGUGUCGGUUCCAUUGCGAAACUUCGACGAGUCAUAACUUCUUCGUUAUAACUCAGAUUUCGGCGUUCUUUAUAUCCCCGGAAUCCUUGUUUCAACCACUAAAACUUUAUAUAAAGAUAUCGGGCUUAUCUCACACUUUAAUUUUGACGCUUAUUUUUAUCUUUUAUUUAUUAUACAUUUAUAAAUAAGUAAUAAGCACACAAAUACACAUAAUUCACAUAAUACUCAAAUAUUUCAUCUUUAUUACUUCAAAAAGAGUUACAAUAGUUGACCUAGACUAUUACAUUGUCUAAAAAUGCUUAGCCCUGAAACCCGGGCGUUACANNNNNNNNNNNNNNNNNNNNNNNNNNNNNNNNNNNNNNNNNNNNNNNNNNNNNNNNNNNNNNNNNNNNNNNNNNNNNNNNNNNNNNNNNNNNNNNNNNNNNNNNNNNNNNNNNNNNNNNNNNNNNNNNNNNNNNUAUAUAUCACAUAUAUACAUCAUCUUUUAUCGUCAUCUUUCUAUCUUUCAUGAAAUUUCAAAAACAGAUAUACAUACUUAGAUUAUCCAUACCAGCAACUCAUAAUACACAUACACACAACACACUGAAAAUUGAAAAUUCUCACCCAUCUAAAUUCCUCAUAGGCUUCCUUGUUCAUAUGAUUUAAAAAACACGAUUUUGUUCCAUGGGACGUCUAUUUUUAGGUAUGAAGCUUUAGUUUGAGGCUAAUUUGUUGAAAUUCUAUUUUCAUUCAUGCCAGUAACCUAAAAUCGAAGGAGAAAUGGGUGAUUUUUGUAGUCUUGUACUUCCACUCCUCACUCUCCAACCUUCUCUAAUGGAUCAAAUUGGGUUUCCUCUCCUCUGUGUUCCUUUCACUUUAUGACUCCUUUCCUUUCUUUCUGGUAGUGACUUACCCACUCCACCAGAUACAUAAUUUUAAUUCUGAGAACAGGUAUCAGAAUGUUAAUUUUUCUUUUUCUUUUAGCAAGAUAAGCAUCUCAACACUUUAAAACACCUUCCUUCUCCAAUUAAGUUUGAAUAUUUUCCAAAAUCUCUUUAGUUUUGAGUGAAAAAACGGCUCAUGUGAUUGUGGAUGAUGAUAUUGAACAACUUCUUCUCGAAAAAACUAGCCAGGGAAUGCAACGCAGAGGUGAUCAGCAGAAUCUAGUGACUAAAUACUAUUAAUUAGGUCCUAAUUUUAUAGAAUUGGAUGACAUCCUCAUGCAUACAAGAAAUCUAUAUUAUAAAGUGAAUUAGUCGAAUGCAAGAAGGGAUAAUCUUUAUUACCUCAAAAAAUUAUUGAAUGAAUGGAAACUCAUCAAUAAAUACAACUUAUUUGCUCUUGUAGAAGAUCGUGAAGCAUGUUUGAACAUCAGGAAGAGCUUAAAGAAGAUGAUGAAGGAACUCAAAGGUGAAGAUUUUAGUUCAGUUCAAUAGGUGAUGCAAAAUACUUUGUUACUCAUCAUGAAGACCCAAAACACCCUACUUUUGAAAGAAACAAGAAAGAUGUUUACAAGUGGAGCUCUAUACAUGGACCUCGCAACAGGUGGGAGGUGUUUUCCGGCAAGCAUGGGUGGUUUUCCGGUGUAAUGGAGGUAGAUUUAUGGUGGGGAUGGAGGAGUGUGGUUCUGGUGUUGAAGUUAGGAUGAAGGGAUGGUGAAAUUAGGUAGACCUGGGUUUUCUUGGGGAUGAGAGAAAGGGGGGGGGGGUAACCAGGGGUGAGAUUAAGGGUUAGGUGUGUUUUUAAUAUUAUAAAAUGGUAAAAGAAAUAAAAAAAACUAUAAAAAAAACAAAUUAAAAGGGUAUAAUAGUCUUUUUUAUGUUUGAUAGGGACCAUAACCACAAAAAAGAUUUGAUUUUGGACCAAUGGUGCAAGUUGAAAAGAUUUUGGACUCCAUCCAUAUUUUUUGGCUAAUCACACGAACCAAAUUUAUAGUUUAGUCUUAGGCCCCGUUUGGUUCGCUAGAUUUCGGAUGAAUUAGGAGGAAUUAGAAAAUAAAUUCCUUUCAUAAAUGUGUUUGGAUGACCAAAUCACAUGAAACUAAUUUCCAGGGUGUAUAUUAAAAUCGGCAAGUAAAAGAUUUUCAAUUCUUUAGGUAAGCUGUAUGAAUCUUGAUUCAAUUCCUUAUCAAUUACAAUGUUGACAAAUUUACCCUUGUAUCCUAUUUCCAACUGAUACGUUUUCUUGGAAUCAAAACACAAUCAAAUUAAUAGCAAUAUGCCAAUAUCUCUUCUACAAUUACGUACUUCCCUCCACCGAUUAUAUAUCCCAUCGAUCGUUAUCUACCAUUCGAUUCUUAUUCUUCAUUCAUCUUCUUUGGUUCGGCUCGGGUUUAUUGCUUUUGUGAUAAACAAUUUUUCUGUGAUUUAUUAUGGUUAUUACUUCAUCGUGAGUGAUAUAGUGGCUACUGCUUCUAUUUUUUUUGUGAUUCAUUUUGGUUAUUGUUUUUUUCGUUUGAUUUUUCUCUGCGAUUAACGAUUGUAAUAAUACACAGUUUUAGUUCGUAUUUUUUUACAUGAUUAGCAAUUGUUUUUCUAGUUCUAUCAUUAAUCAGAAUUUUAAUCAUAUUUAUUUAAAAAAAUUACAAAAACCACUUAAAGGGUAUUUUGGUAAUAUUAUAUAACUCAUAUUCCAAUUCCUUUGACAAUUGGACAAACCAAACAGAAAAUAGAUUCCAUUUCAUAUCAGCCAAACACAUAUCAACUUAUACUUGAUUUAGAUUUCAAUUUCUUCAGAUUCCAAUUCCUUUUACAAAUUUCAUUCCUUCCAAAAACAUUCUACAAAACAAACGGGGCCUUAAAAUUAUCCAUCUAAGAUAAUAUCUAUAUAAUAAAAAUUAUUCUAUAUUAUCUUGGAAACUUUAAUUCUUGCUACAUUUCUUUUGGAUUGAAUGUUAAUUUUCAAAAAUAUUUCUUUAUCUUAUAAUUAAGUUACCUCAUUUUCGUUUCAAAUUUUUCUUAUAGUAUAAAAAACAAUUUAAUUUACUCGUUAAAACAGUAUUUGUUUCUUUUUAUUCUUAUUUCAAACAUUAAAAUACAUCAAUAUUUUUGUAUGUUGAAAAUCAUUGAUAUUUUACAUAUAUGACAUAAAAUUUAUGACAAUCUCUUAUGUCUGUCAUAACACUGCUGUAUGUCGUCCAUUGUCUGUCAAAAAAAACUUUUUUUUCUAGUAGAAAUCCAAGCAACUCCAUAGUCUUUUCCAAAUCCUCAUGUAUUAUUUUCUAAUUUUAACUUUUGUUUUAAUUUUCAUGUCUAACUAGGUUGUUUUUUUUUGUUUGUUUUUUUUAAUCUCCAAAUCGCCUUGGUUGCUUGGGAUUUGAUUUUUUUUUUUCGUUUUUGAUUUUCAUGGCUGCUUGGUUUUGUAUUGUUGUUUUGAUAUUCAUCUCCAAAUCGUGAAGGUUACAUGUGUUUUAAUUUUUAGAACUUAAUGUUUGUUUUGAUUUGUAUAUAUGUUAAUUAUUUUAAUUUGGUUUUUAUUAUAAGAUAGAUACAUGAAUAUUGUGGUGGUACUGUAUGGUAGGUACUAGCUAGCUUUUGGUGGUGGUGAUUGGAACUUUUAGCUUGCAAUGCAUAUAUUGUAAAUAACAAAAUAGGAAAAAAGACAAAUUGACGGUAGCUUAUAGACGGCGUUAACUAAAAGGUCAUUUUACAAUAUUUUGACGGUAGGUUAUAGACGGCUAAAAGCUCCUGCAAUUAUUUGAAACCAUUAGAACUGUUCACUAUUCGGAUAAAAUCGAAUUAUCCAAUUGGACAAUUUGGUUUGGAUAUUCGGAUUUUUGGAUUGGUUUUCAACAAAACCGAAUUAUUAUUUUGGAUUUCGGAUUGGUUUUGGUUUAUAAUAGUCCAAAAAAACCGAAUAAAUAUUUGUUAUUUAUCUAUUUAUAAUAUACAUCUAUAGUUUUUUUAUUAAUUUUGUAAUUUAUUUUUUCAAAUAGGAACGUUUCACCCGAUAAAAAAACAUUAAUAUGCAUUUUUACUCAAAAAUUUUCUAUCUAUAAAAUAUUUAACAAUAAUAUAUAAAAAACACUAGUAAUCUUAUAAUUAUUCUUCGUGUUAAAAUGUUUCGGUUUUUAAAAACCGAAUUAUAAAAACCGAUCCAACCGAAUUAUAAUUGGAUCGGAUCGGAUUGGAUUUAAAUUUAUUUUGGACUGUUCGGAUCUAUGUUUUGAAAACCGAAAUCAAUUUGGAUUCACUUGAUUGGAUCGGAUCAAACCGAUCCAUCCAAACGAACACUCAUAGAAACCACAACGCAACUAUCAUAUUUUCAGAAGUUUACAUAAACCUCCAAAUUCACCAAACCAUACAUAUAGACAAUUUCGCUAAGAGUAAAUUACACGAAUGGUCCCUAUGGUUUGGGGGUAAUUUAUGUUUUUGGUCCCUAACUUAUUUUUUAAACUCAGAAGGUCCCUAAUAUUUGUUUUUGUUACGCGAUUGUUCCUUACUUUUUGUUUUUGUUUCGCGCUUGGUCCUUGUCUUACCUAAAAAGACUAUUAUUUAAAUAGGGAAAAUAGUAUGACAAGUAGGGUAAUUUGAGGGAGUUUGGAUUGGAGAUGUGUUUAUUUAAAUAAGUUAAAAAAAAAAAUCAAGAGUAAAAUAGUCUUUUUAGGUGAGACAUGGAUCAAACGCAUAACAAAAACAAACAGUAGGGACCUUUCGAGUUAAAAAAAUAAGUUAGGGACCAAACACAUAAAUUACCCUAAACCAUAGGGACCAUUCGUGUAAUUUACUCUUUCUCUAAUUUACUCAUAAAAAAAAUAAACAAAAAAUUUGCUUUGGCUUGAUCCAACUCCAUCCGACCAUACUAUUAACUUUGACCAAUAUACUUUUUCUUAUCCUCAUCGAAGUUGCGAAUUAUAUGUACUAUAUUUAAUAAUUAAUAUACGUAAUGAAGUAAUAAUAUAACAAUCGAUAAGGUCAUUUAAUCUUCUCAUCUGCCCUCCACAAACAUUUUAAUUCCCGUCUACUCUUUAAAUCUUCACCUUCCCCUUCACUAAAUAUACUGAUGUUUUGGUCCUUCCCCUUCAUUGCACUUCUGUCCUCAUCACAUUUCUCUUUAGAUCCUCAUUAUCUUCUUCAAAAAUCAAAAUGCUCCGGUCUGCAAAACGAUCCUAUGAGUAUCUCACCAACCAUGUCCCCAAGCUUCUCCUCGUAACCAUAAUCUUUGCUAUCUUUAUUCAAGCAUUCAAACAAGCCCCAUACCAACUUCUUGAUGAUAAUUAUUUCAUCCACACACUCACUUUCUGUUUGCUAGCAAUCUCCAUUCUCGCAUUCUACUUCUUGAACAAGCCUCAAACCAUCUACCUCGUCGACUUCGCUUGUUUCAAGCCACCAUCCAUGCUCCGAGUGCCAUAUGCCACUGCGGUUGAACACGCCCAUAUCAUCUUGGCCUCGGAGCCCAAAAGCGUUUCUUUCCAAGUUAAGAUAUUCGAUAGAUCUGGUCUGGGUGAGGAAACAUGUUUACCACAUUCACUACACUAUCUACCACCAAAACCUAAUAUGAUGGAUGCUAGAGAUGAGGCUGAGAUGGUCAUUUUCUCAGCCAUGGAUUCUUUACUUCAGCAAACAGGGAUUAGUCCGAAGGAUAUCGAUAUUUU